CUUGGUGGACUUAGUUGGACUGUUCAAUUGGGAAGAAGGGAUUCAACCACAGCAAGUUUUGGUUUAGCUAACUCAGAUUUACCUGGUCCUGGUUCUGAUCUAAGUGGCCUUAUCAAUGCUUUUAACAAUAAAGGUUUCACACCCAAAGAAAUGGUUGCUUUAUCAGGUAACUAUAGUUACUUUUAGUUCCUUUAACAUGUGCAAUAUUACACAUGUCAGAAAAACCCUAAUUUUAUUAUUACUAGCGUUUAGGCACUCUGGUGUCCGUCUAUCCAGUUUUCAUACCAUAUGAUAAACAUGUCUCAUUAUCAAUUGUAUAACUAACUUUAUUGUAUUAUAGGAUCACACACAAUUGGUGAAGCUAGUUGUAGAUUCUUCAGAACAAGGAUUUACAAUGAAAACAACAUAGAUUCAUCUUUUGCAAAUUCAUUGCAAUCAAGUUGUCCCAGAACAGGUGGUGAUUUAAAUUUGUCCCCACUUGACACAACCUCUCCAAAUACAUUUGACAAUGCUUAUUUCAAGAACUUGCAAAACCAAAAAGGUCUCUUUCACUCUGAUCAAGUGCUUUUCGAUGAAGUAACCACAAAAUCACAAGUUAAUUCUUAUGUUAGAAACCCUUUGAGUUUCAAAGUUGAUUUUGCCAAUGCAAUGUUCAAAAUGGCGAACCUUGGCCCACUUACGGGGUCUAGUGGUCAAGUUCGAAAAAAUUGUAGGAGUGUCAACUAAAAUUCUUGGCCUUCUAUUGUAUAAGUGCAAUACAAGGUUAUAAGCUACUCUCUAUAUUGUAAUCAUAAAUCGCAUCAAACUCAAUGUCAUAUCGUCAAUCAGUAUCAAUAAUAAUGUUGGUACCUAUUUAAUUACUUAAUCUUGUUGGUCCAAGUGCUAUGAGGUUUGAAAACCAUAUAUAUAUAUAUAUAUAUAUAUAUAUAUAUAUAUAUAUAUAUAUAUGCAAGUAGUCUUGAGAAGAGUUGAUUUUUUCCUUUAAAUUUGUCUCGCUUAACAACCUUGAGGUUUUUUUUUUGUCUUUUCGUUCAUUUAAUUUGAACUAUCGAACCGAACCGAGUUGUUCAAAUCAAAUGGAUAACUCUUUGUAUCCUAAGUAGAUUUUUGAUUAUCCCUAAUGACUUUUUUGAAUGGAUUAUCUCUAAUGACUUGAUUGCUAAAGUGAUCCCUUCUUCCUUGAUUAAUCAGGAUGAUUUCAAUAUAUCCGAAAUACCUUCUUUUGAAGAUGUCAAGGCCUCUUAAUAGGGAUGAUGUUCACUUGGUUAACCUAAGCUUUUUAAACAUGACAAAUAAGAAAAUAUUAACAUAAUUCUUUAAAAAUAAUUCGAUAUUUAGUUAAGAUCUCAUUUUUAGUUAAUGGCAAGCAUGGUUUAUUUCUUUUCCAAAAGAGGGUGUAAGGCAUGGGAGUUUUUAUUUCUCCUUUUCUUUUAAAUUCUUGCAUCAUUGAUUUGGAAGUGUAAAGGAUUGAAGAGUAAGAGUGUAAUUUGAUUUCGCAUGCAACUCUUGCUAAUUUGGAAGGUGAGGAAUGAUAACCAAAGUUAGCACAAAAAUCCAAAAUUUGGGGAGGUAGUUGACCAAAAUGUCUUGAACAAAAAAUCAGCUUGGCACUAAAAAAAUAAAUGAAAAAAAAAAAUCUUAAAAAAGAAGUGAUGAAAAUGACAAUAUAAUUAAUUAAAAUGAAUUCCGUAGAAAUUAUUAUCUCCAAUAAUUUUGUUCAUGUAUACUGUUUUUUAUUUUUAGGGAUGUGAUGCAUCAGUACUGUUGGACGAUACAUCAAGUUUCAUAGGUGAAAAAACAGCAGGUCCAAAUGCUAAUUCAUUGAGACGCUUUGAUGUAAUUGACAAAAUAAAGUCUGAAAUAGAGAAGUUAUGCCCUAAUACUGUCUCUUGUGCUGAUAUUCUUGUUGUGGCAGCAAGAGAUUCCGUGAUUGCUGUAAGUAUAAAUACUUCAAAUCAAAACUUUUCUUUAAGGGAUACUUCAAGCUAAAAAAUAGAGUUUUUCGUCAUAAUUUUUAAUUCAACGGUUGAUAUAUGAUGAUAAUGGAUCAUGACUCAUAUUGUAUGUGUCUAUAUAUUAUUUGACUAUAAACAUAACUAUUUUUGAAGUCAGACAUGCGAGUGGUUGUGAUAUGUCAGCCGUAUAAAACUUUUUAAGGAUAUAAUUAAAAAUAUAUUUUUGGUAGGAUGGUUAUGGUGUACUCUCUGGUGGUUCGGGAGUUGAGGAGUGCCUGAGUGAUUCGUCUCUGGGGUAGGUAUGGUGUGUCGAUCGCUUUUACUUAGAGAUUGGGAGUCAAUUUCUAGAAAUUUGUUAUGUGGGCUUAUUAUGGUGUCUUCUUCGGCGGAAUGGGGAUCGAUUGGUGGUGCAAUUUGUAUCGGUGCUGGAUUAAGUGUUUAUCAGGUGUUUAUUUGGGCUCGACGUCGGAUAGAGAAGGUGUUUGAUGAGUUUUUGGAGAUUUUCGUGCGAGUAGCAGACGUCAGGUGUUUGGAACGAGUUUAGGUGGACAUUCCAGCGGACCAGUGGCGGAUCUCUAUAGAGACCCACAGGUGCCAUGACACCCCUCAACUUAUCUAUAAAUACUAUAUUACUCAUAACAUAUUAUAAGUAUUUCAUUGUCGCAGCGGAAAGUGAAGGCUUUUUGCAACUAUAGGUCGCGAGUUCAAUUUCUAUUGGCUCCCUUUUAUGUGUAUUUUUAUUUUUAUUAAAACAAAGUGUUUGUCUGGAGCUCGAACCAGUGUCCACAAGGUACUGGGCAUAAACAAAGUGAACCACUACACCAUCUUACAAACAAUGUCAAACAUUUGAAAGAGUGUGUAUAUUUUCUACGACUAUUUGGCACCCCGAACAAAAUCAGUCAAGAUCCGCCACUGCAGUGGAGGUCGGGUGUUUGGAGAGUUUAGGUGGACAUUCGAGUAGGAGCAUGAGGUUUUCCCUCAACUUAGGUUUUUCAGUUGUCUGAGGUUUGGCGUUGAUUUUUAUGUGUUGGUUUUCGUCUUGGUGGUUAGUUUUUAUUGGGUUUGGUGAUAGACGUCAAUUAAAUGAUGUCUUUAUUAUGUAGGAGCUUACUUUUAGCCCUUUACUUAUUUCUGUCUUGCCAAUCUCUAUUCUUCUUGAACAGUGAUCUGGUUUUAAUAAAUUUUGUUGUUUAAUUUUUUUUUAUAUAAGUUGAACAUACAAGUAAUUUUACAUUGCCGGUAUAAAACUUUUUACAACAACAAUGUAUGAAAAUUAAUCACAUAUUAUAAGGAAAAGAAAAUUUUUGUAGUUCUUGACAAAAACAAAAUUGUACUUGAAGUUAUAGUCAACCAAGUAUUUCUCUAUACACUAACAUAUUGAACACAUUUCAGCUUGGUGGUCCUAGUUGGACUGUUCAAUUAGGAAGAAGGGAUUCAACCACAGCAAGUUUUAGUUUAGCUAACUUAGACUUGCCAGGUCCUUCCUCUGAUUUAAUGAAUUGAUUGCUCUUUCAGGUAGCAAGCUAAACUUAUAGAUGCAUAUUUAUCAAAUGUUUUAGAUUAUUAUUUUUAUUAUUACUAGCGCACUCUCGUGUUCGUCUAUCCGGUUUUUAUACCAUUGUUGUGUAACUAACCUUAUUGUAUUAUAGGAUCACACACAAUUGGUGAAGCUAGUUGUAGAUUCUUCAGAACAAGGAUUUACAAUGAGAACAACAUAGAUUCAUCUUACAAUUGGUGAUUUAAAUUUGUCACCGCUUGACACCAUCACUCCAGAGACAUUUGACAUUGCUUAUUUCAAGAACUUGCAAAAUCAAAAGGGUCUCUUUCACUCUGAUCAAGUGCUUUUCGAUGAAGAAACCACAAAAUCACAAGUUAAUUCUUAUGUUAGGAACUCUUUAAGUUUCAGAGCUGAUUUUGCCAAUUCAAUGAUCAAAAUGGGGAACAUUGGCCUACUUAUAUUACUGGGUCUAGAGGUCAAAUUAGGGAAAAUUGUAGGAGUAUUAACUAAAGUUUUUUGCUUCUAUUACAAGUGCAAUACAAGGUUAUGAGCAUUAUAUGGAUUGUAAGCAUAAAUCGCAUCAAACUCGAUGUCAUAUCGUAAAUCAGUAUCAAUAAUAACGUUGGUACCUGUUUAACUAUUAAUUUUUCUAUCGUGUAAUGUUAAAAAUAAAAAAUGGAUUUGUCCAAGUGUGGUGGGGUUUGAUUUCCAACUCAUGUAUACGAAAAAAAAUUAAUUGAAUACUUCGUACCUAUAAAAUAAUUUUAAAAAAAGUGUGUAAUACUAAAAAGGGUGUAAUCAUGCAUGUUCAUAUAUUCAAGCCUACUUGUUAAGGUUUAACAUUUUAAUUUUGUUAUAUGGGCUGAAACAUUUUUAGCAAUGGAAAAAAACUAAACAAAAUUAUCAAUUUGUUUUUCUUUUAACUCUCUUAUUUCGUCUAAAAAUCAAGUGAAACAUGCAUGACUAAUGAUUGUUUUAGUGAGGAUUCAAUCUUAGAUUGUCUUGAACGAUUUGUUUUUACUUUUUAAGUAAAAUUUAUUAACCAUUUGAUAAAUUAUUUGAUUACUAAUUAAUCAAUUGAUGUUAGAAUGAUAUGAUUAUGUUUGUAGUUCACUGUGUCCCAAAAAAAGAAAAUGGUGUAGUUCACAUACUUUAUUUUUUUUUACUCGAGUAAUCUUCCAACUUAAGCUCUCAAGUUUAACUUUAUCUCCUACUCGAUUCUUAAAGUAUACCAAAAAAAUGUUUUGUCCCCUGAUAUAAGUUCAAAUAGCAUAUAAAUACAUUUUUCAAAUAAAAAGUAAAGAAGAAACUUAACAAAAAAAAAUAUAUGUCAUUUAUAAAAGUUUACAUUAAGUUUCUACGAGUAUUGGCGUAGCUGACAUAUAUUUAAUUAGUGUUUUUUCUUAUAUUGUGGUUUGAUUCGGUUGGUAAAAUAAAAACACAAACCGAUCCAAACCACGCGGUUGAGUAAAAAAGUGAUUCGAAUACAUCUAAACCAAAUACGGUUUUUUACGUUUUUUUUUUUUUACAGUUUCUUUUGUCUUUUAUUGGUUUUCAUUCCUAACACUCUUGUAUAUGGGCUGUCUCCUUUCUCUUUGGGCCUGUACCACCCAACCACCCCUUUCUUUGAUCCAACGGUGCAAGCUUCGAUCUUUUCUCUAAAAUUAAUCUCAACCAUCCAUCCACUCGAUCUUUUCAAUUUUCAUUACUCUUUUCAUCUUCAAACUUAGGGAAUAUAUGAGAUUGUAACCGAUGACACUCAAUCAGUUGAGAUCAUUUAUUCCUCUACACAAAACCCAUAUAAAUUAUGCCUUAUUUUUCUGACUGACUAAAAUGUUAGAUAUGAAUGAAAAUCAUAUUUGAUGUGUUUAUGAUUUUGCAUAAGUUAAUUGUAGAAUGAAACCUCAUUGAAAAAAGAAAUUACAAUAACUUUAUUAAAACCUUAAUCAUAAAUUUCCUAAUGACUAAAUUUCAAAUAUUGAUUUUUUUUUUUUGCCAAGGAAACUGGAUUUUAAAUGAUGUUGAAUUUAAAACUUAAAUGAAUUGUGGGUAUUAUUUAUUUAUAAUUUAAAUUAUUAUUUUGUUUUAUGUUUAGCUUUUUAAAUAUAAAUUCCCUAUAUAUUAAACUCUCUUUUCUUUCUAUUCUUUCUCCAUGAAUUCGGAAAUUGUGUGGGAAAAAGAAAAGGAGGUUGUUUAUACGGGAUUUUUUAAUUAAAAAUCCUAAAUUUCAAAUUUUAAAUAAUAUUUAAAUAAUAAAUAACUAUAUAUAUAUAAACAAUUGCAUUUAUUAAAUUAUUAAUUUCACUUUUCUUUUUCCUGUCAAAGUCCACCUUACAUUUUCUAGUGCUCUUAGAACACUCAUUAGAAUCCUUCUUGAUUUUGUAAUUUUUGUAGUGUUAUGAAUGGACUAUGUAAAGACAAUAAUAUUAUAUAAAUGAGGUCAAACUACAUAAAUAUCUAAUUUUGAGUUAAUAAUACAAUAAGUAAGUGGGGUCGGCUGACCCGAUUGCCCCCACACUGAAGAUGUCCCUGCAGGGGGCUAGCAAAUGUUGAAUGGCAACUAGCUUUCUCUAAGGCCUUUGUAGAAGUUCGGUGUAGACUCCCACUCCCACCACAACCUUAUCCUUCUCCGCUUUGGUGGUUAUAACAUCCCAGACGACUUUAAGCAUUGCCGACUGGCCCUACAAACCAACAAGCAUUCAUUGUUGAUAUAGGUAGUACCAAACAAUUCUUAUAAGCCUUCUUUCAACCAUGUAGUUCCAUACCUACACAGCCUCAAGAUCCCUCUCAUUCCGAUGUGAUUCGGUUCCUCUAGAAGUUGUCGGGAGCCGCUCAUUGUCGUGCCUUGUGCACCGACGACCACUUCCCGCCCUCGUCGGCCUUUGGUGUUACAAUGGUCGAUCUCCCCAUAGCCAGAGGGCCUAGACCUUUCCUCUUUGAGACAACUUGAAUUAAUCAUGAAGUCGGCUCUGAUUUAGUUGCCACAAUCUGGAAUUCUUCUAACCAUAACCCACCAGUCGACUUAAGCAUGGUUUUGCGGCCUUCAAGCAUAGAAUGUUAACAUGCAUUCUAAGAACCGCAACAAGUUAUGUUGCUCCAAACUAUUCAAACAUUCAUUUUUUACAAUUACCGUAAAACUGAUUUUCCCUUUACCAUGAAACUUUAAUAAAAUGCAUAUAAUGUCACCUAUACUUUUUUUUGUCAGAUAGUCUAGUGACUAUAAUUCAAUUUUUAAAGUGAAUAAGUGGAGUGUUGAGGGUUCGAAAUUGACCUCUGCAUGUUACUAUGCAUUGUCCUUAUUUAAGCUCAUAUUCAUUAGUCAUUUAUUCGCAUACGACUUAGCAAUAUAACAUACACACACGCACCUUCGAAGAGAAAGGGAAAAUGUAAGGAGGAGGAGGAGGAGGAGGGGGGAAAAAUGUCGUGAGAAAUAAGAAGGAAUAAAAAGAGAGAAAGAGGGAGGGAGUGACAAAUAUCAGGAAUAAAGGAGAGUAUAGAAGGAAAAGAAAAAUAAGGAAAGAAAAGAAGCUCUAGAUGGUAGGGAUUUAUGAAUGUGAAGUUCCUCGUUUAGGAUUCUACCAUUGUUGAAGGGAUCAAACUUAAGCUGUGGGGUUCUUCUAAUUUUAUCUAAGGUAACCUAGAUUCUUCCCCCAUAUACCCUCUAUUAAGUGUGUGUGUGUGUGUUUUUUUUUAUAUAUAUUUUUCAACCAUAAAUAUUUGUCUCGUAUUCCUUUAUGUAUUAAUGGCAAACAUUUAGCUCAUUCUUUUAUGUAUUAAUAUUAAAUAUUUGUCAUGUUUUUUUAGUGGCAACUACUUUAUCCCAUUUUUUAAUGUAUAAGUGAUAAUUUUUUUGUCCCAUAUUUUUUAUAUUUAUUAUAUGUUUUGUUUAUGUAUUAGUAAUAAAUCAUUUUUUUUUGUGUUUUUUUAUAUAUAUUUAUCAAUUUUUGGUAAAUUAUGUUAUUCAUUCAUUUGACACAUCUAUUGCAUCUUUCCAAGCAUCUCAUCCGAUUUGGAAAUUUAGGUGUUUUCUAAAAAUGUUCAAUCUUCUCUUCAAAUCAUUUGAUUAUCUUUGUAUUUGGGUUAUCUGUAAAGAAAGAGAUUGGUAUAUUUUUUAACAUAAGGAGACUUUGAUGGUUGAAAUCAAAGAAUAAAACUUAACUUUUGAUCUUUAUAAUCGAUGGCUUAGUCCCAUUAUGUGUUUGAGUUUUGUCUCUUUUAGUUUUGUUGUGGUUUUGUAAUUUAUUGUGGACAUUUUUAAAUUCUACCCUUGCUCACCUUGUGCAGGUUAGGAUUAUUUCUUGGGUUUAAUAUAUUCUAUUUUAAUUUUAUUUUUUAAAAAUUAUGAUUUUAAUAUUUAUAUUUUUAUAUAUAUGAUUAUAAAUAUUAUUAAUUGAAGUCAACAGUUGGCCCCGCUAACACAUUGGGUUACAUAUAACUUACUAAUUCAAAUUUUUAUUGUCAAAUUGUGAAAUAAAAUUAAAUAGAAUUAUAUGAAGAGAUCACGUACCCAAUAGGACAAUAUAUAAAAUUCAAAUAACAAUAUGUGAUAUAUUGACCAAAGAAAGAUCACAAUGUAGACCUUCUAUAUAAAUAUGUAACAAAUUCAUAGAUAGAACCACAAAUACAUAAUCAUAAGCAUCUCCUAAAAUUAUACAAAUUUUCAUUACCACAACCAUGGCUAAAAUUAUUAUUCCAAUAAUCUUAUGCUUUGUUGGGAUAGUUUCAGCUCAAUUGUCCACUGAUUUUUACUCAACAACGUGUUCUGAUGUGCUUUCAACCAUUAAAAGAGAAAUAGAUUCUGCUGUUGGUAAUGAGGCUCGUAUGGGGGCAUCAAUACUUCGUCUUCAUUUCCAUGAUUGUUUUGUUCAAGCAAGUCUACUUUCACUUCUUAAUUCUUCUAUCUUUUCAAUUUUUUUGUUCAUCAAAAUUUCAACUAUUAUAUAUGGUCAAUUGCAUUAACUAAAUAUAAAAGUACACAUACUCAAGUAUGCUUGUAUCACAUAUUUUACAUUUAUGCAAGAAAUAUUAUAUAUGAUCUAUAUGUGAUAAUAUGAUCUUUCAAUCCAUAAAUUUUAUAAAAUACAUAUUUAGUAAAAUGUUAUUGAGCGGUGUAACAUUACUCAAUUGUUUUACCGAUGUAAUUUGAUCUUCUUUGUAAAGGAGUACUCAAAUUACACUCAAAGAGUUGUGCUAAUAGACUAAUAGUUGCACUAAUAACAUCUUGUUGGAUUAAACCCAACUAUCAACAUUUUUCUUUUCUCAUUACUACUUAAUUGAUGAAAUUUGUUUAUUGAAAAUUAAACAACUGCAGGUGAGUCAAUGUGACAAGAGAAAAACAUUAAGAUUACACCCCCACACACGAUUUUUUAAUUGUUAAUUUUUACUUUCCAUUGCUCAUUUAAAGUUGUAAAAUUAUAUUUUCUUAUCUCUCAGAAUAUAAGUUAGAAAAAAUCUCUAAAUAUUAGUUUCUUUUUAUAUUAUUAGAUUUUUUAACAAAAAAAUGCUCCUAAUUAAUUUACUGCCUUUUUUAGAAUCAUUGUUUAACUAAAAUUUGUUUAUAUAUGACUUACUACUCUCUUCUUUAUAGAUUAUAUGACUUGCUACUCUAGUUAAUUUAUUAAAUGAGAUUGCUUAUUUAUCUUGUAAGGGCAUGGCAAAUUGGCAAUCAUGCGUAUAUUUCUUUAUUUAUUUUCUUAAAGAAGAACAUUUCUUUCCUUUUUUUUUUGUGGGGGGGAAUAACAACAUUUCUUUCCUUAAAUAAAGAAAGAACAUUUCCUAAUUCAUUAUUAUAAUUUUGUAAAGGCGUGGCAAUAUAAUUAUAUAUACGUAUGUUUUCUUAGAAGAAUAUUUCUUUCCUUGAAUUAAAAAAAGAACAUUUCUUGAUUAACAAGCAACAAAAUGUCAACUAAUGAUAUUAUUAUUAUUUUUUUCAACAAAAUCAUUUUGGUCAUCAAUCUUGUGUUUUGAAUAUAGGGAUGUGAUGCAUCAGUACUGUUAGACGAUACAUCAAGUUUCACUGGUGAAAAAACAGCAGGUGCAAAUGCUAAUUCCUUAAGAGGUUUUGAUGUAAUUGACACUAUAAAAACUGAACUGGAGAGUUUGUGCCCUAAUACUGUGUCAUGCGCUGAUAUCCUUUCUGUAGCUGCAAGGGACUCUGUCGUCGCAGUAAGUAAUAUUUGUUAUCACAAUGAGUUUGUCAGAAUCAUAGUGGUUCACUGUGACUAUGACAACCUACUAUGAUACAAAUCGUGCACUACGUAUUUUCAUAUAUAUAUACAACAUAAAGCUAUAGAUCAUUUAAUAAAGCAAUUUAAUUAAUUUGGAUUAAUACUAAUUAAUGUUGAAAAUAAUAAUAAAAAUUUCAGCUGGGUGGACCUAGUUGGACAGUGCAAUUGGGCAGAAGGGAUUCAAUCACAGCAAGUUUAAGUUUAGCAAACUCAGAUUUACCUGGUCCUGGUUCUGAUCUAAGUGGUCUUAUAACUUCUUUUGAUAACAAAGGUUUCACACCCAAAGAAAUGGUUGCUUUAUCAGGUAACUAUAGUUAGUACAUUUCUAAUCAUUUUAUAUACUAUUAUUACUUUAUUAUAAACUUAUCCUCCCAAAGUCAAUUUCUGGGGCUAAUUCGUAUGGAGUUUUGCUUUGACUUUAAACGAGCCCCCACAAUGAACAAUGAGAUUGAUUCUCUCCAAUUAGUCAGUCCUAAGGGUCGAUUAUUACUUUUACCAUACGCUUUGACUCAUACUUGCAAAACAAUAUUUUAGGAUCUCACACAAUUGGUCAAGCAAGUUGUAGAUUCUUCAGAACCAGGAUUUACAACGAUGACAACAUAGAUUCAUCAUUUGCAACAUCAUUACAAGCAAAUUGUCCUACCACAGGUGGUGAUGACAAUUUGUCACCACUUGACACCACUACUCCAAACACAUUUGACAAUUCUUAUUUCCAGAACUUGCAAAGCCAAAAGGGUCUCUUUUCUUCUGAUCAAGCACUUUUCAAUGGAGGAUCCACAGACUCUGAUGUUGAUGAAUAUAGUAGUGACUCUUCAAGUUUUGCAACUGAUUUUGCUAAUGCAAUGGUCAAAAUGGGGAAUCUUAAUCCAAUUACUGGGUCUAAUGGUCAGAUUAGGACCAACUGCAGGGUAAUCAAUUGAGUUUUGGGGCCUAUUGGGAACAUAUAAUGCAAGUUGAUUAUGGGUAUUUUUCAUUUUUAAGGUGUGCAAUUGUGUAAUAUUAUUGUGGCAAAGUCAAAGUUUCCAUAAAUGUAAGGUGUGUUUGAAUUUUAAAUGGAUUUAUGUCAAUGUUUGCAACUGUUUAAUUAUGAUCUUGUUUGCAACUGGCAGAGUCAAAUAUGUUUGUAUAUGAUAUAGUUCUCACAUCUCAGUAAUUAUAAAUUAAAAAAAUGGUUAAUCACUUUAAAAAAUGUGAUUAAUUAGUCGGUUGAGUGGAUGAUUAAUUCAAUUACUUCAACUAAAUAAUUAAUCGUAAUUUCAUAAUUUUCAACGUGAUCUAAAUUAAACACAUUCUCAAUUGAAUUAACCAUAUGAUUGCAUGUGUUUAACUAGAUGUAAGAAAAAUUGGAUGUCUAUCAAAUAUUUUGGUUUAUUUUGUAGUAUUGGUGUCAUGCUUUACAUUCUUUGACACUAGGGCUUAGAAAUAAAAUUAUUUUCCUCUAAUUAUUUUCUUAAAAAUACGUUUAUCUUCUUAUAUUGAAUGAGAUGUCAUUCUACUCUCUUGCCUUGGUCAAGCUCUAAAACUAAAAGUUAAUAAACAUGUAAAAUACAAUUUGUAAUUAUUGAUUAACUUGUUAGGUUCCCAAUGACUACCAUGUUAACGCAUUAUCAGAAUUUGAAGACGGCUUAAUAGAUAAAGCAUUAAAUAGCACUGAUAAACAUAACUGAAUAUUAAACAUAUUCCGAACAGAUUGAACACGAUCCGACCUUAGCUCAGUUGGUAGAGCGGAGGACUGUAGUUGGUUAACAGACAUCCUUAGGUCACUGGUUCGAAUCCGGUAGGUCGGAUUUUUUUUAUUUUUCCACAAAAACAUUUUUAUUUUAAUUAUUAUGUCUAAUAAAAUUAUAAAAUUCCACGGUCUCUUUUGUCAAAAAUAUUAAAUAAAUAACCCACGUGUCUCUCGACCAAUUCAAUCUAAUACUUUUUCUUCAACAUUUUUUGUAUUAUUUAUAUUUUGUCAAAAAUAUUUAUUUGUUCCUUUUAUCAAAAUAAAACAAAGAAGCACAUGUCUGUCGACCAAUUUAAUUGAGAACAGUCUAAAACUUUUCUUCAACAUUUUUGUUUUUUUGCAGAUUCUUCAAAAAUAAAAUUGUCAAUUAAGGAUCUGGUAUUUUAAUUUUGCGAAAACAAAUCUUAUAAUUUUAUACUUUGUAAUGUGAUGCGAGUGUAGAAAAUUCAACUAGCUCGACCAAUUCAAAAAUAAUCAGUCUACAUCAUCCGGCUGGAAUUUGCAAGGUUAGAACCACUUCAACUAGUUUUUUACUUCACACAAAUAUAAAAAUAUAAAAGGUCUCUUUCAAAAAUAUUACUCCCCCCGUUUCAAAAUGAGUGUUGCUUUAGCCAAAAAAAAUUGUUUCAAAAUAAAUGUCUAUUUACAUUUCCAAUGCAACUUUAAUUUUUUUCUUCCAACUUUACCCUCAAUGAAUACUCCAACUUUUCUCUCUCACAUAAUUUUCAAUGCAACUUUAAGUUUGUCUUUUUCUUAUAAAGUAAGGUUAUUUUAGUAAAAUUGUUAUGACAUUUGACUAUUUUAUUCCAUUUCUUAAUUUGUGUGUAAAUGGUUAAAGCAACACUCAUUUUGAAACGGAUGGAGUAUAAAAGACCCAUCAAUUUUCAUUGAAACAACUAUUUCAUUUAAAUGUAAUGAGGGAGAAACUUUCAUUACCUUCCAACAUGACUUUAAAUAUACACGAAUGAAAUACAAAUUUUGAGCUGUGUAAAAAUGAACUUCCAAACAAAUUAUGUCAUUAAAAAAUACACCUGUAUGUGGUUUAAUAGAAUAAAAAAACAAGGGUGAAAAUGCUAUCCAUCAACAUUGUGUUGCACAAGUGGUAUACAUAUAUGCUUGUGUUCAUUAACCAUUUUAUCUAAAGUUCGAUCUAUGGUCAGCAUGUAUGAAAAAUACAAAUUGUUGAAAGACGUCAACCCCUUAAGUAGAUUUUAGUUAUCCGAAAGGAUUAAUCUUUACCUUUGGGCAUAUGAUACAUUUGGUUUACCAAAAAAUAAAAUUAUGCUCAUUCCAAAAGAUUACACUUGCCUUAUACUAUUGAAUACAUUUGUAUAUAUACAAUAAUUAUUGUCACAGUCAUAAACCUAAUACUAAUAGAGCUCUAAAAGUCAGAUAUAGAACAAUUUAUUUUAUAUUAUGAAAUCCUUCGAUUAAUUGGCAUAUAACUUCUAAACAAAGGUGAAAAUGAUUCAUUGGCAUAUAACUUCUAAAUAAAGGUGAAAAUGACAGUACCUGCCUGACACUGAUAUCUCAAUAUGCACAUGACCAAUUCAAGGUGAGAGCUUUCAAUGUGCCAUUUAAAAUACAAGUUUUAGAUGUGUAUAAAAAAUCAUUAACUUAUUUCAACACCUUUUCGGGGUUUUCUUAGCAACAAGAGGGUGACCAAAAUUGUUUUCUUAAUUCAAUAACGUUGUUAAGCAGGGUUGGGCCAAAUCAAAGACCCACUUAGUGCACAUUGUAAAUAUAGAUAAUAAAUAAAUAAAUAAGAAAUGCAGAAACAUGAGAAUAUAUCUUCAAUGAAAGCGGAUCAUGUUAGAAUAAGCUUAUUUCUCAUUAAGAUGUCAUAAUUGAAGAUAGUGACAAGGGAGGGAAUGUGAACUUCCAUUCUCUAAAGAACAAUUUCAUAUCAAAAAGGGGGACACCUCCCUUAACCUGCCUCAGAAAGCCAUGCACCAAGGUGCAUGUAAUCCUAUCAAUGCUAGACAAUAAGUGAACAUCAAUCUUCCUUCAUAAACAAGAAAGGAAGAUGCAAUGCAUUCGGUAUUCUAAACUCCCCCAACCCCCAAAAAAAUGGAAUUGGCCUUGAGAAAAGUUGAGUUUAUAAAGUCCCUCUUACCCUGUCACUACCAUCUUUCUAAUCAGAUGACCAUAAUGAAUGUACAUCUGAUGUUGGAUAUUGUGGACUGCCAUUAUGGGGCCUUGCAGCAGAUGAAUUCCCUAUGCCUUCCACAGAACCAUGUAAAUUCCAUUCAUUUCUGCAAACGAACAGAUACACAAGAUGUUAAACAAAGAGUGAGAACAUGAGUUUAAACCGUUUUUAUUAACACUAAAAUGGAUAUCAACACACCCGAGACAAUGUCCGUACAGGCAUUAAGUUAAAAGAAUACAGUAGUUUUACACAAAAAUUUGCAAGUUGUAACACAUGUGUUGACUUCCAUUUAAAAUUUUUCAUGUUUAUCUGGUUCAACCAGUUGGCUGUUUAUGAAUAUUUUGCUGAUGGCGUUUAUCUACAAAGCUAUAUUUAGGAAGGACAAUAAAACUGACUGCAACUGGUGUUUAUCUACCACGUCAUGAAUCAAUCAAUGGCAAACCAGAAGAUCAAAAAUAUUGUCCCACCCCAGAUGCAGUAUAUACCCAAUCACUUCAUUUCAUAAUUAAAUAAGUGUAUGAUCGUAGAGAUGUGUACACACAACGCAAUCAUUUAAUUUGCAAUUAAAUCCAAUAUUACUAAAUGGAACAGCGUAAAGGUCAUUAGCAGCUGAAUCCUAGAAAAAAAUUUGCCUGUAUUUUAUGCAUCCCAUCAUAUCCUACAUAACAUAACAAUAGGUUUCUAUUUCAAUUAAAACUAAUUAAAUUACCUUCCAUAUGUAUCAACAUACGUGGGUUCAUGGACAACAGAAAUACAUAGAAAUCUUGCUAUAAGCCAUAAUUCUGUAAGCCCACAUAGAAACCAUAUGUUCAAACCUACUUCAACUCUAAACCAUAUUCAGUUUGCUACUCCCAAUUCAUAUCUCAUAAAUCUCGGGUGCUCAAUGGAACACACAAUGCUAGAUCUUGUUUUACUCAGAUAAUUAGCCCUCCUCCCUCACAUUAUUAUUAGACUAUGCAAGUAGAAAAAGAGUAAAUGAUUACUACUGCACAUCAAAGGCAGAUCAUUCAUAUUUAAAACAUGAAAUGAACAUAAAUUUGUUUAGCACACUUCCUAAUUGCCUAGAUUCACUGUAUCUCAAUUUGUCUUUAUAAGACUCCUUUCUGUAAGGAAAUAUUCAAAUGAUUUAAUCAGUCCGUUCAAAAAUUCCCUAGAGCAAUAUGCACUGCUCUGGAUAGUGGGAUUCAGCCUCCUAAAAGUACAUUUUGACCUACUUAGUUUGAUCGACUAAUUUCAACAUCUUAGCAACCCAUAACUUGAGAAACAGCCUACUAACCACUAUGACGCUAAAGUUUACACAACAGCAUAGACAAAAAAAGUUCAAAAAUUCGAACAGCAAGGUAGAUCCAUAAACAACAGGCAUAUUAAUUAAACAAGUCAUACAAUAACAGGCAAAAUUAGGCCAAACAGUUAUUUACUCACUUGGGCCAACCGUUAGCUGGUGAAGACUCCAGAACAUUACUGCUAGCAGAUCCGCUUGGAUUCCCAUACAUCCUUUCAUUCUGAGAAAUCUCAUGAGGUUUAAGGCCACCAGAUAAAGGUGGAAAGAGACCGUUUUGUAACCAAGGAUCAUAUCCUCUUGAAACUGCAACAGGACUGAAGGUCCCAUCACUAUUACCAUUAGGAUGAAAAACAUUCUGGGCAGAAUAGCUACUGGGAACUAUGUUAUCAUCUUUGUUAAAAACAUUAGUUGUAGUCUUCUGAAAUGCUGGGAAGAUAAAGUCAUCAUUGGUUGGCAUGUUCCUUUGUGAGGAUGAAAGCCAACUUCCUGGGCCACCAACAAAACCUAAACCUUCCGGACCAAGAGGUGAACUACUCCACAUCUGCCAUGUUCCCUUCUCAAUUGCAGCUGCAUCAUCCAAAGGAAAUGGAUGUAUACCUUGGGCUAGGGGGUUACUAGUAAAUCUAUUAGAACCAUUAUUCUUUUCUCGGGUCAAUGGGGACUCAAUUGGAGAUGGCUUAUUGACGUCAGUACCAGAUGUGUUUCUUAAAGAGCGGGGCUUUAUUACUUCUGCGUCUUUUAUAAAGCCACUUCCCAAAUCCAACGGAAAAUUAUCAAGUGACUCAUAAACAGGACCAAGCAAGGAUGAUGGAUGUGGGACAUAACAGGGGUCUUCAAAAAGCUCUUGCUCUUCAUGCCUAAAGUCAUGUGAUGUAUUUACAACAGGAGGGAAUACAGGUUCAAUUGCAGGAGAGAAACCUAGACUACAACUAGUUGAACCAUUAAGAUUAGUAGAAAUAUUAAACGGUGAUGGUAGACCAAACUGAAUUGGAUUGUUAAAUGAUUGUGUGACUGGUGACUGGCCAGAUAAUUGAGGGCUUUUGGCUUCAACUUGAAUUUUAGAAUUCGGUCUACAUAUUACAUUUGAAUUUGAGGAUUUAGGAACAGAUGAGGAACGAGUAAAUAAUUGCUGCCAUGACUUUUUAGGUGCAGUCCAUGGCUUUGGUUCUGGCAGAACCUGCAGGGAACAAUCAUCAGGUCAUGUAUUUAUAAAAAAAUUGACACUUUCCUAAAUUGAUCGUUGGUAACUAUAAAUUAAUACUAAAUAGAGCACCAUUUAGUUUUCAUAAAUUUCAAAGAUUGAAUGUUCAAAAUGGUACACACAAAAAAAAAGGGUAGUAAUAAUACACUGGCCUGUAAAAUCCAUCUAAGUAUAAAAAAUUCCUUUGAACAAAAAGUUAAUAAUACUAUAUCAAUCAACCUUCAGAAAAGCCAGAAAACAGAAUUAUAAAAAGCAAAGAAAGGGAGAGACAGUAAGCAUGACAACUUACAGAAUGACUGAUAUUCUUAUCAUCUCCAUUCAAAUUGGAUUUAGCAGCUGGACGUUCAGGAAGAAGUAUAUCUCUCUUGCUGGCAGCAGCAUGAGCAUGAUCUACAGAUUUGUUAGACUUGCUUUCUUUCACCACAGUGGCAGGAAUAUUAGCACCCUUUCCAAAACCAAGUGCUUUUGAAGAAGACAAAAUUGUACCACGCAUGCGAUCAAGGUACCUUGUCCCAGUACUUCCUUGGUUAUAACUAUUUGCAACCAAAUUUUUACUAUGUGCAGUAUCUGUACUCUGUCCUUUGCCACUCUCUAAUCCAGAUUUCUGAUGCACUCUAUGAUCAGUUUCAGUCUUUUUGUCAAAGUCCCGCUUUCGUUCACUUUCUUUGGUAGCUCUUUUAUCCAAUUCUUCUACAUCAGAAUUGCUCUUACUAGACCCUUUAUCUUUCUCUUUUCUUCUUUCCUGACGCUUCUUUUCAGCUUCCUUCCUUCGGUCUUUCUCCUUACUGGUAUGUGAUAAUUUGCUGUUAUCUUUUUCAGCUUCUAUUGUCUCAUCUCUCAGCCUCCUACGCUCCUCCACUAACUUUGCAACCUCUUCCCUCUGUUUUCUCUCUUCCUCCUCCAAAAGUUCUCUCUCUAGCCUAGCCUGUCUUUUCUCUUCGGCUUUCCUCCGUGCUUUUUCUCCUCUACUUUCAUUCAAAUUUUCCCCAUUCUCACCCCUUUUUGCCAAGAGUGCCCUGCGUUCAGCAUCAGACAAAUAUUCUUCCCUUGAACUAAUUCUAAAAAUCUUUCGCCAAAGCCAUCUAAUGGUCAAGAAAAAAGAUGCCAAAAGCCUGCAAACAAACACCAAAAUACCAGAAUAUGACCUAGUUGUCAAACAAUGCUCAUCUCCAAAAAUACUUCCAUUCCCAUUCAUCCUCCAGUUGAUAGCAUUACCUCGAACGGAACCACCAGCCCAAUUGCCAUUCUCUAACCAGUCCUGACUGCACAUCCACCCAUUUUUUCCAACCAAAUCCUUAACAAUACCAGAAUUCGAAAUCUGCAACUCUUGCGACCCAGGCAAGUCCAAAACCGGUCUCUUCGAUACAUGCCCACAAUACGAACACAUAAACCGACUCCCACCAGGAUUCUGAUCUCUAUACGGAUUCAAGCAGUUACGACACCUCCUCGUAGCCGUCUUCCUCAGUUUCUGCAUUUCAAUAGCUUCAAACCUCUUCCUCUCCCUAAGCCUAGCAUUCCUCCUCACCCGCCAAGCCGACAGCUGAGGCAUCAAAAUCUCAUACCAAAACAGAGUAACCAACAACACAAAAACACAAGCCAGUCUCGGUGAAGUAAUCUCAAACCUAAAAGCCGGUGGCAGAAGUUGAGAAAGUGCCCAUAAACCAAUCAAAGGAAUAACCAACCAAGGCAGCAUUGUAGCAACCCGGCGAGAACACUUCUGAAUGACACACAGUAUACACAUUAUCCUCUUACCCAAACCCUCAAUCCAAACCCCAGCAACAAUCCAAUUUCCCAGAUACUCUCAAGCUAAAGACCAAUACUUUAUAGAAAAACCCUAACCCUAAAUUCUACUUCUUUCUCUUCCAAAUCAAAUUCAAAAUCAAACAAUACACUUCAAAACUUCAAAACCCUAAAAUACCAAACAAAAAAAAUGAAAAAAAUCAGAAUCAAUAAAACCCUAAUUGUGGGAGCUAUGAAGCUUCAACUAUGGCGAUAAAACCAUCAAUAGAAAGAGAAUUGAAAAUGGAAUCGAACACUUACAGAUUCAUCGUCAAAUAACGGGUUCAGAAGCGAACUUGACUCAUUCAAAUUUGGGUUGGUGAUUUUUGCGGUGUGAAGAAAUAACGAUUAUGUGAAAAUGAGAUAAGAAGAGAAAGAAGAAGAACAAGAAAAAGUGAAAGACAAAAACCCGAAGAACCAGUAAUUGAACCGGGGGUUUUGGGUUGGACCGGUCAAGGUGAACCGAACCGGGUCUUAUUCUAGUCUUUACUCUCUUCGUGGUUAAGAAAUAAGGAAUAAGUCCUCAGGUGAAAUUUGUUCCAAGCUUGUCUUGUUGAGCACGUAAUUAAAAAUUUGACAAAAAACAAAGUAAUUAAAAAAAUUAAUUGUUAGUAAUUUUGACCAAAUUAAAUGUAAAUGAAGAAAAAGAUAAGGGUAAAGAUUUUACUAUUAUUUUUGUAUAUAACUCUUUAAAAAAAGUUUGGAACUCUAUAUAGAUAUGAUCGAAUUAAGCUUAAUUUAUUCUGGUUAAUAAUUUGAGUUCAUGUAUUUGGUCGAUAUUCCUAUUUUAUAUACAUUGGAUUGGAUUGUAUAUUAAAUGAAUAUUUGAUUGUUUUGACUAGUUUAGUGAAUAUUCGAUUAUUACUAAUUUUAGAUUUCAAACCAAGUAAACAUUUUUUUCCUGAAAAAAUGGGUAAGAAAUACAGUAAGAUUGAUCACUUUUCGACUCGGUUCAUGUUUUCUUUUCGGUUUACUUUUCCAUUUAGUUCAUGAUUUAGAGUCAGUUUGUUAUAGCUUUUUUAAGAAAAAAAUCAUUUUUUUUAAGAAAAUAAUCAAUUUUGAGAAUGUUGCAUCAGUCUGUUAAAGCAAAAAAUCUAAUAUAUUUGAAGCUGUUAAGAGCAUCUUCACAAAAAAUAGAUUUUUUUAGAGGAGAGAUAAAAUAUGAUUUAAAACAUUGAACUAAUUUUGUAACAAAAAAUCAUUUUCAUAUAGUUGUAUCCAAACAAACUAAAUUAUUUGUUUAAAAAAAAUGAUUUUUUCCUUCAAAAAAAAAAAGUGAUUUUUAUCAAUUCUGAUUUUUCAUAAAAUCUCUAAAAUAUAUGGCCCUUUGUUACGGAUUAAAAUAAAAGUGAUUUAUUACAUAAAAUAAUUUAGAGAUUAUAUUUUAGAGAUUUUAUGAUAAAUCAGAAUCUAUUUUGUGUUUGUUUAUCGUAAUAAAAAAAACACUUUUUUUAAACAAAUAAUCUAGUUUGCAUGGAUACAAUUAUAUAAAAGGGACUUUUUGUUACAAAAUUAGUUCAAUCUUUUAAACAAUAUUUUCUCUCUCCUCUAAAAAAAUAUAUUUUUUGAGAAUCUGCUCCUAACAGCUUCUCAUUUGAAGCUGUUUUUAGAUAAUUUUUAGAUUCUGAUUUUUUUAAAAAGUUGCAACAAACGAAUGCAAAACUCUUAAAAUUGAUUAUUUUUUUAAAAUAAGUGAUUUUUAUUUUAAAAGCUCUAUAACAAAUACAUAUUAUGAUAAAUAUCAAAGACUUACGAUUAAUUAACUAAUUUUAGUAUCACAAAAAUAUAAUUAUAGUAUAUAUAAUGUGUAGGGUGCAGAGCGGGCUGGGCACUAGAGUACCCUAAUUGCGCCCCAUACCCGCUCAAAUUUGCGGGUAUUUUCAUAAGUCCAGACCCAGACCUAACAAUGUGGGUAUUUACAUGUUCAUUGUGAAUAAUUUUUUUGGGUGUCCAUUAGACUUUGUCUAAUUACCAUCCCUAUUCGCCGGGAAUAUGCAGUCUUUAGUUUAGCUAUAAUCAUUUGGAUUGAUUCAAUCAUGUAUCAAUAUUUGUAUGACUGUUUAUUUUCUCACCCUAUGAGUUUCUCACGUGUCCUAUGCAGUUCAGAUUUUAAAAUCCGAACUGCAUAAAAAUACCAAAAAUACAUUGAAAUAUUUCGGAUUUUAAAACUCGAAUAAGCGCGCGAGAACCUCGUAAGAUGGAAAAAGUAAUGACAUAUUUGUAUGUAUCAGGUUUUAGGGGUUCAAAGUGCCCUAGGCCUUUGCUCUAACUUUGUUGUUUCCGUUGCUGUAUCAGCCUGUGACUUUUGUUAGGCAUAUGUUAUGCCUUUAUGUUUAAUAUAUAUAGUAUUUUUUCCUUGCCUUUUCAAAAACGUAAAAAAGGGUCUCUAUACCACUCUACUACUAUUUUUCUCUAAAAUUUUCUUUGGAUUACCUCACUUGAACUAAAAUGGGUCUAACAUUUGAUUAGUCCUAUGACCAAAUCAAGUUUAUAAUCUAAGACCGUUUCCUCGACUAACUUUCAAGUCCUAAUGUAUAAACAAAACGUCCAACCAAAAUAUUAUUUUUUUCAAAAAAAAAUAUGCAUAUAACUUGGCUUAUUUUCUUUAACUUGUAGCAAGCAGCAAUAGUUUGACCUUGGUUUCUAAGUCUAUUGUCUGCACUACACUCUGUACUCUCUUACGAAAUCUUUAGUUAGUAAGUGGAAAUCUGAUUAAAUAUAUCAGUGACAAUCAAUAAAUGUAUCAGCUGAAAACAAGGUCAACAAUAUGUGCAGCAUUUCAGUUAAUCCCUUUCUUUGUUCAACAUUUUUCUUUAGUCCCUGCAGAUUUCUCUCUCUCUCUCUAUAUAUAUAUAUAUAUAUAUAUAUAUAUAUAUUGGUACAAAGGUUUUUAUACUUUAUUCCAUUGUUUUUACGAUUGUUAAUUAAAUUUAAGGAAAAAGAUAGGUAGACACCCUUUUUCAUACACUUCUUAUGUACACCCCCAUGUAUUAGGGGUAUUUGAGUAAUUUUACAUCAUAUCAUCACCCUUUUUCAUCUCUCCUUUCAAUGUUUUUGCCACGUGUCAUAAAUGUGUGUGGGUGUAAAAGGGUGUAUGCCACCUAAGGUGGUUCAUGUAUAAGAGCUCUAAAUUUAAUAGUUAACUCUUGUUGAAUCACUAUUAGUAAUUUUUUGUUUAUAUAGAUAUAUAUUUUUUUUGAAGGAAUUUAUAUAGAUAUAUAUUAUCAUACAUAUAUAGAGUGGCCCAUAUGCACGUGGGCAAGUUGGGAGAAGUUCAAAGUUUUUUCUGCCGACAAAUUUAUAUAAGAUCGACCAAGAUCAAACAAUUGUUUGGUUGUUGGGUAUCCUUUCAAUUAAUCUGUUAUUUCCGGAAUAGAGAUCUCUUAUACUUCUUUUGCAUUUGAUUUGCAUCAUAUUAUAAUGUAAGCAUAGAGACACCAAAAAUAAUCAAAGUAUUUGAUCCAUAAUACAAUGUAUAAGGUGGUUAACCCCACUUGUGGUUCUAAUGAGGUGGUUAUACCUUAUCAUUUAGACACUUCUUUUUUAGUAACUUGACACAAGGUAUUAACUUAACUUCGUGUGUUUAGAUUCACUGCUGUGAGUUUGAAUUUAAACAAAAAUAUUAAAACUGCGGUAGAAAACCAUAGUAACAACAAACUAUAUACAUUUGAACUUCUAAAAUUAUAGUCAAAGACUUCUAAAUUUAUAGUGGCAAUAGCCCACGGCUCAAUCAAACACAAGAUAAACUAAAUUUUCUUAAAAGAUUAACUGGACACAAGAUAUAAUAUGGUACAUGUGAAGCCCUGAUACUUUAAAAUAGUUGACGUAUCGUAUCCCCUGUGUAAUGACUGAUACUUUUCGAUACGUAUCAGAAGAGUAUCCGAAGAUUAAAUUUUUUUUUUUUUUUAAAUAAUUAUCCGAUACUUCCCGAUACGUAUCAGGAAAUUAAGUAUCCGAUAAUUAUCAUGCACCUAUAUCUGCCCCAAUAAUUUCCAAUUAACGUUAUAUAAAAUAAUUUAACUCUUGAGUAUAGUGCUUCUUUUUUGGAUCGAUAUAGUAUAGCACUAACAAUGUUUCUUUUGGAUAUAGUACAACACUUAUGGUAUAAGUGCUUUUUUUUAUAUAUUGGAUAUGUAAUUGAGUAAUUGUCACUCUCUUAAUCGUCAAUAUUAUUUAUAUUUAUGUUGAUGUGCUACGAGCCUAUGACUGAUUUCUUUUGUUUGUUAAUAUGUUUGCAUAUUAAAAAAAUGGUUAUAAUUAUAUUGUACAUUUAAUUAUAUAAUUUUUUUUAUUAACGUAUUCAGUCGUAUCGUAUCUUGAUUUUUGAAAUUUUUCCGUAUCGGCGUAUCAAUGCAGUAUCGUAUUCGUAUCGUAUCUCGUAUCCGGGCUUCACAGGUCAGGACAGUCUAAAGCUGGUGCAUUCAGACCCAGACCCGUCUCGCAGAGUCUCAAAAUUUUGAGGCUUCCAAAAUUUAUUUUAUUUAAACUUAUAAGGAUUUUUUUUUUGUGGUGUCCGGGAUUCAAACGCCGGACCUUACAUAUAUUAUGCAUUAACCUUACCAACUGGAGUUAAACUUACAGGGACGUUAACUUUUAUAUGGAUUUUUUUUAACUUAUAAGGAUGUUAACUUUUAUUAAACAAAAUAGUUCAUUACUCCCUCCGUCUCACAAUAAUUGUCUCUUUAGCAUAUUUUUUUAAAAAUAAUUGUCACUUUACAAUAUCAAUGCAGUAUUUUAUUUUUUUUUUCUUCCACUAUUAUACAUUUAUUUAAUAAAUUUCAUUCAACUUAACUACUCCACUAACUACAAUUAAUAAGAGUAUUUUAGUAAAUGAUGAUAUUAAUUUUACCAUUGAAAUCAACACAAUUAAUCAUUUCCUUAAUAAUCGUGCACAAACCUUAAACGACUAUAAUUUAGAGACGGAAGGAGUAAAACUAUCUACAAUAUAUGAAAAUAUGUUUAGGUUUAAUUGCACUUUUGGCCCCCUAUAUUUCAAGAAGUUGCGAUUUUGGCUCCUUAACUAAUUAAAAUACAAAACAGCCCCCUAUGUAUUGGAUCUUUGGCAGUUUUGGCCCCCUAACUAAUUAAAAUACAAAACAAUCCCCUACAUAUUGGAUCUUUGGCAGUUUUGGCCCCUUAGACAAAUUUUGACUCGAUCAACGCUGACGUGACACUUCAAAGCCGCCACAUGUGCAUUGUUUCAAUUAAAAAUAAAAAAAAAUUACAUUAUAAAUUAAAGUAUUAAAUAAAUGAAAAAAAUAACAAAUAAUUAAAAAAAAAAAAAGAAAAAAAAAAAGAAAAUCGCGUUCCAAAAUCUGAUUCUCCAUCUUCUUCCACCGAAACAUCAACCAAACACUAUUUGGAGGUACAUCGUUGAGUACUAUUUGAUUUGAUUGAUGUUAAGAAGUUGUUGAAAAAAAACAUUGUUCCUAGUAUAUAUUCUUUAUGGUAGAAACCCAGUCCUCUUAAUUAUGACUAGGCAUAUAUUAAAUUUUGUACUCCUGCAUGAAUCCGUGACACACGAGAAAUGUAGAAAUAAAAGGUAACAUUCAAACGUGGGUAAGGGCACUUUACCCUACACUAUACGACUCAACAACAAAAUGGUGACUUUUACGAAUUAAUAGUAUGAAAGUUACUCUUACAAAUUUUUAGUCUUUGCAAUGAAUAAUGGUGUAGAUAGUUGACAAAAAAAGAACACUAAAAUUGGCCUUAUUUAGGAAAAAAUACAGUAAUAUGUCAAAUAUGAUGAAGUAAGAUGUUUCUUCUGCCGCCCCUUCAAUUAUGUAAAGGGACAUGGCUAGUAGUGAACAAAAAUUUUCAACUGUUGUGGCCCUUGUGGGCUUAGGCCCUCAUUGUUAUAAAAGAGAAUAAAAAAAAUUCAACUGUUGAGUUGUUCUAGAAUAUGUGACAAAUUCUAUGAAUGUGUGAGAAGAAAGAGAGAAUAAAAAUACUAGAAAUCUUAGUUUGAUACAUAUAAGUUACACACACUCAAACUUGAUUUCGAAAAAAUGUUUGGGUGUGAUCUGCGAAAGCUGAUUUUAGUUAUAAGUGAGUUGAAUGUAAAAUGAUUUAUGUUUGAAUACGUUUAUGUAAAAGUGAGACAAAUUUUAAUGUAAAAAUCAGAUUUAGAGAUAAAAACUACAAAUCAUAACUUCAAUUUAAAAUCAAUUAUACUUGAACACGUUCAAACGCAUCAAAAGCAAUUCUACAUAUCCAUAAUCAAUUUUAACUCAUGAUCAACAGUGAAAUCAAACACACUUAGUGGAUGUUUGGGUUCGUGGAGCGAUGGUUAGAAUUACGAUGAACCAUCACAAUUUUGACAAAAACUACACUCACAAGUUACAACUUCAACAAAUAUUUGUGAUUUUGUCAAACUGAUGACAAAUCCAAACAUAUAUAAUUAGUAUCGUUUUUCCCAAAGAUCAUCUUUGGUUUCUAGUCUUUAAACUCAUUUGAAACUUUAUUUCAAACUUCGAUUAAAGUUUUCAAAUGUAAACCAUUUUUCAAACUUAAUUUUAACUAAAUUUAAAUUGAAGUUAUGUUCGCAGUUUAAUUGGGCUUGGUAUUGAACAUUGACACGGCACCAUUACAUAUAGUUAUGUUCAAUCACAAUAUUUACGUGUUAGUGUCAUCCCUAGUGCUUGUCGUGAUUGAUUGUUCAAAAGUCAAAACCAAGUUUUGCAAAUAUUGAUCAACCAAAGCACAAUAAGCCAUAGAAAAAGAAAAGCUGAAAAAUUCAUUUACAAUUAUUUCUAGCAUGAUACUAUUGUCACAAAUAACAAAACUCAUAAAAUAAAAAAACCAAAAGAAGAUAUAACAACAAGAUCUUGCUGGAAAUUAAGGUCCAUGUAUUCAAUGUACUCAAGUCACUUUAGCACAAAGUUCAAAGAUCCAUAAACUAUUUAUGAUGGUUUAAACAUCAUAAUAUGUUUAAGAUAUUAAAAUACACCUUAGAAUUAACCAUAACAAUUAUUUGAGAAGAAACAAACUCACUCUCCUAGAAAAUUUGUUUGCUCUUUAAGCAUGAAGAGCAAAGAGAUUAAUUACACAUAAAACUCUAUUUAAGUGCAUGUUUAAAUUAACAAUAACAUUGACAGAGUCACGAUACGCUACAGUGAUUUUGACAAAACUAUAUUUUAGAGUUUCAACAAAAUCGUAAUGCUACUAAUUUCGUUUAACUACUGAUCACCGUGAUACGAAACAUGCACUAAGCUAGUAGAACUCCCUUGGCCAGUUGGCCAAGGUAGAAUCGACUAUUAAGCUUACCUUUUGGAGAACCCUAGGAAUCCACUAUGAGCCUUAGUGCUAGUUGAACGAGAAAGACCAAAGCAUAGUGUUGAAGUAGGUGAAGUAGCAUCUUCAUCUUCUUCUCUUGUGAAAUCAAUAGAUGAACCAUAACUUAGAAAACGCCUCCUUCUUGUAACAACUUUGGAAGAUGAUGAUGAUGAGUCUGAGGAAGAACAUGAAGCAGAAGAAUAAUAAGGUGAAGAAGGUGAAUUAGAGGGUGAUGAAGAUGAUGAAGACAUAAUAUUUUUCUUAAGAUUUAGUUUUGGGAAAAGUGCAAGAAAAAUAUUGGAUCUUGAGUUUUUCUUAAUUGGUGUUUUUUUGCAUGAAUAAUAAGAAGGUGGAGGAGUAAGAGGAGGAAGAUUUUUCUCAGAGAAAGUAUAUUUUGGUGUGCCAGGUUGAGAUUCCCAAACAAAAGGGACAGUAACAGCUACUCUAAAAGAAGGAUUGGAUAUGGAACUUUCUUUUGUAAGAAGUCUGCAGAAGAACUUGUCAUCUUGCUUGAUUUGGAGUAUAGUUUUUUGUGGUUGCUCAGAUUUGGAACUAAACAUGUUUGAAUGAGAAUUUUGGUAACUUAGUUUCAAUAUGAAUAAUGUAAAAUGAGUUUGAAGUAGUUUGUGUAGAGAGAAAAGAUGUGAUAUAGAGAUUUGGACUUUGUAUUUGUUUAUUUAAAUAAUAGUGUUAACUGUUAAGUGUCACAUUGAAAUGAAGUCAGCAUGUUUGCAUUUAUAUAUUUUAAUUAAUCUGAAACACAUGCAACUCGAUUAUUGAAAGCUAUUGGUACUAUUAUUACUAGUAUAUAACACACUGUUUGAAUUAAAAAGGUUCUUGUUUUUUAUGAAAGUAAAUAAUAUAGUAAUAGUAUAUUUUGAUUUGACCAUUCCCACUUGCUUGUUUUGCUGCAUGUAGUGAGGAAAAUUUGAGCCUACAAGUUUGUGCUUCUUGACCCUUGAAUAGGAUUUGCUUGCUCGCCAUCAACUUGUUGCAUGAUAAUUCUUGCUGGUAUUAGAUGUUGUUCAUCUUUUACGAAGAAUUUAAAGGGUCAUGUAUAGUAAUAUUGUGUCAUCUAGGUCUAUAAACGUUUUAUUUAAGAGGAUUGAUUUUAUCAUUUUAAAAAGAUUAGUGUCGCCGUUUGUUGUAUGUUUGUCUUUCAUCCUUAUAUAAAUUACAUUUCUCUAACACCAUCAAAAAAAAUCUUGCUUGGUCACAAACAUCUAGACUCUUGAUUUUAACACACAAACAAGAUAAAAGAUAGAUAGAAAAAAUAAUUAAACACUAAUGACUACUAUCAUGUAAAUAAUUUUUCUAUUAUGUUUAAAUUUACACCGAAUAAAAAGUCAAAAAUAGUAAAUUUUUCUUCAAACUUGUACACUUUAUAUUUAAAUACAUAAUUUUAUAAUAAAUAAUUCUUAUUUUCAAUAAAAUAAAAAUAUAUCUUUUUAGUUCUCUUAACCUAUGCAAUACUACAUUGGUUAGACAGACCAUUUUUAAAUAUUUAAAUUAAAUUAGAUGUUUUUAUAUGUAUGUCUAAAUCAUAUGCACAAAUGUGUGACCAAGCAAAACUUCCUCAUUGUUGUACAUCUAUUUGAACACGGCUUUAUGGUGCAGCCUUAUGUAUAGCCAUUAGAUUAAAAGAGAGAUAAUCUAAGUCUCUGCAGAAUGUUUCACCAUAAAAUAAUUGUAGAGAAUCUAUUUCACACUUUGCUUAAUUAUUUAUAAGCUAAAUUACUAGUCUUUUAAAUUUAAGGUUUGUAAUAAAUAGGUCUGUUAAAAUAUUUUGGUAACACACAAGUCCUUUAAGUUUGUAGACGUUUUCAAUUUAAACCUUCGGUUAACCAAACGUUACAAAAACUUGACAGUUAAGUGUAUGAUAUGAAUGAACAUUAGCCUGUAAAACUCAUUUAAUUAAGUACACACUCAAUAGAGACAUGGUGUUGGGUAAUGCUUCAAAAAUGCAAAGAAAAACAAAACAUUUAAACUCAAAUUUUAAUUGAAUCUCAUACGCCUUCUUAAAAUAGUGAUAUAUGUAGACUUUCACAGCAUCCCACAUGAGUUGCUUGAUCUAGCAGCAUGAUCAUGUACCCAAAGAACAUGCUGAAUUUACGGCUACAUAGGAGUCAAACUUGAAAAUAGCACUACAAAAUAAUCCCUUAACAUGGGGUACCCCUGCCACAUUAAGGAACACUCUUUAAUUCCUAUUGUAUUAUAAAUGAAUAAAUUCAGAAUUUUCUUGUGUUACGGGCCCUUCACAUGCAGCUUCCAGGAAUUUACGCCAUUGAUGAAGACUGAACAAACUGAAAUUGGCCAAUAUGGGUUUAUUAAUUUAAUAAUUUGGAAAGACCUAGAUAUAUCAUAUAUUAUAUAGCUAGGCCAUUGUUAAUUAAAUUAGUAGGUUUAUGAAUGGAACUAAACUAAAUGAAUUGAAGAGAAGAUCACCUAACUCAAGUGGACAUGUAUGUGUGGACCAUCUCCAUCAUUUAUGAUAUGAACUUAAAUUGAGUGGAUUGUAGUCUGUAUCCUGUGAGUGUUACUUAAGGUAAAGUGCGUGGCACUUAGUGUUUGGACAUGGAACCUUUAUUGUAAAUAUCUAUGUAUAUAUGAGAUGUCGACGGGUAUCCACAUACGAUAUCCUCAUCAUUUAAUGGAAAAUCUUAUUUCAAAUACACUAAUAUCCAAUGGCACAGGUUAGAGAAAUGUUAAUCAGUACCAGAUAAUAUUACUCUGCAAGCCGCCGUGUAGGAUAAAAAUGAUAUAUGUGUUUUAUUUAAUCGGCGAAUGAUGUAUUUUUCAUGAGUCGUGAUAUUUGGUUUUAUUAUAUGGGUAAUACUUGGUUUACUGUAAGUAUUUCUCUUGACGCUUGACUUGUUGCAUGUAUUCUUUAUGAGUCCUGAUAUUUGGUUUGCUGCAUGGAUAACACUUAACUUGUUGCAUGCAUUAGUCUUGACACUUGGGAUGCAUUUUAGAUGCCAAGUGGUACAAAUGACAGAGUCAUUUUGCUAAAGGACAAACAAGGGUAGAAUUAAUAUUGUCAUUUUAAGAAAUCUGCAUUUUGGCGCCUAAGCAAGGGCAUUUCAAUAAAAUGGGUUAGGGUUGACCUAGAGUUUGGCAAGGGUUUACUACAAUACUUAUUGAUGCAAAGAUGAAAACAAACUUGUGCAUGAUACAAGAUUUAUCUCACUUGUGCACCAUAAAAUUGACCUAACUAAUAUAAUAUUUUAAUAAUUUUAUUAAACUAAGGGUUAAAUUUUUUUUUUGAUAUUUAUCAAUAUUUUAACUUUUUGUUUUAGUUUGUAUAACAUUCUUUUUCGACAUUUAGUCUCUCAUAAAUUUUUCAUCACAACUUUUGAACGUUGCUUUUAAGUUAACUUUUAUUUAUCAUUCAAAAUUUUAAUUUUUUUUUUCUCUUGCAUUUAUAUUUAGUACAUUCAAGCAUUUCCUCUUUCAAAAGUUUUGUUUUUUUUUUUUUUAACGAGAGGUGAAUUAAAUAUGAAAUUUUACUCUCUUCGUUUCAAAAUAAAUGUUGCAAUUUUAUAAUAUGCAUUAUUCACAUAACUUAUUUUGACCAUAUUUUUUAUAUGAUUUUUUAUCAUAAAUAAUUAAAUAUAUGGUCUUGCUAACAAGUGUCCUAAGGGCACUAGCUAAUGCUCUAAAUUAGAAAUAAUUGGUAAGUUUUAUGUAAAAAAAAAAUUAGUUUUUCAAGUUUUAAUGUAUUGAAUGCAUCAAUCCCAAGACAAAAUUUCUUCUUUAGGAUUCUUAAAAACAAGGAAAAUUCUAUGACUUUUAUGGUGAAGUUAACAUUAUAGCAUCAAAAGUGUUGUGAGUAACACCCCACGGUUUGUACAGUGGCAUCAAAAGUUCAGUCCCCAUAAUAUCAUCAAUUCAUCAAAUUAACAAGAAUACACUUAAUCUAAUUUUAUUCUACCUUGUUUUAAGUGUAACACUUAAGACUAUCACAUGAUAUCAGCAACUCUAUUUGCAUGUUAAAGAUGUCAACGAUAAAAUAGUAUCUGUAAGUCUAAGAUGUUGCAAGUAUUACUAGAUGAAUUAUUGUUGAUCAUUAAUCGGUAAUCAACAAUUUAAAAAUGAAUCAAUCAUUAAGAUUAAAAUUAACUUUUUCAAAAAAGUCAGUUUCAUGACUGCACCUUAGAAGCUCCCUCUUAACAAUUGCUCUAAUGACACUUGUUAGCAUUUCCCUUAAAUAUAAUAUUAAUGUCAAAGUUUUUGUAUAUAUUGUCAUGUGUGCGGUGAUUGAUUGCAGCAUAUAUUUUUAAACGGAGAUAAUAUGUUUUUGACACUUAAAAUUUUAUAUUUAAUUUAUAUUUCAUUUGAUCACAUUUAUAAAUAAUUUUUAUUUUUUAGAUUUGUUUUUUAUUUGUGGUGGCCGGGCUUUAAACCCCGGACCUUACAUAUAAUAUACAUUGUUCAUAUCAACUGAGUUAAGCUCACGAGUACUUGGAUUUGUUUAACUUUAUACCUUUGUUCCCAAAAAAAAAAAAAAACUUUAUAGAUUUGUGAGUUGUGUUGUUCAAAGCUCUUUCCUUGUCAUUAAUUACAAAAGAUAAAGCUCUUUCCUUUCCAUUAAUUACAAAAGAAAAAUCAUCCUUCCAUUGCUUCUUUUUUUGACAAAAAUCAUUCUUAGAUAAAAGUACAUUUUUAUGUGUGAGGAAUUUAUUGCAUUGUAGUGCUCUAGUUUAUUGAUCGGUCGUUGAACACGCAAAGUGUCUUUGCAAUGGAUGUAACGUGAUUUGAAAGGUGAAUGUUACUUCAGAAAAAUAGGUGAGAUUUUGUUGUUCAUAAUUGUGUUUUUUUUUGUGAGAUUUUACGCAGUAAAACUAAAGUAGGGUGUGUCAAGCAAUGAGCAGGGCUACAGAAAGGUAACAAUUGAAUCAGGUUGAAAUCUAGUAAUGGGCCACUAGUCCAAUGGGUUUGAUCCAAUGUACCAUGAUAAUUGCUCUUUAGACACCCAGGAAAGUCAAACGCUAGUUAGAACAUUUUUUAAAUUAGGUGAACCGAUUUAAAAAAUGUAUUAACCAAUCUCAAAAGUGGUGACUUUCGUUCGGUGAGUGCUUGAGAGCGAUCAUUGAGUGUCUAAAGAGCAAUCCUCUUUUACUGCUGCUCUUGGUAGAGUCCAUUUGUGAAUGUUAUGGUCCAAAUGAUAAAAUUGUGAGAAUUUCUUUUUUCACCCACCAAGCCUCUCACAAGCCCUCCAUGUUUUCAAUUAAGUCAUUGUUAUUAUCAUCUAACUUAUCAUCUUCUUUUUCAAAGAUUAAGGAGGAGUUGGCCAGGGAGUGCUCGAUGGUUAUUUCUAACAUUCAUUUGCAGGUUGAUGUGACUGAUCGAUGGCCUUGGCUGCUCUAUAGAAGUGGAGUGUACUUUGUGUGAGGGGUAUACCAUUAUCUUACUAGCCCACAAAUGCAUCAAGCAUGAGUGAUUUCUAAGUUGAUCUAGCAUAAGGAUGUCGCGUUGAAUGUUUUUCCGUUUUUGCUUGACGCCUCAUUCAAAACAUGUUGUCUACCAAAGAUAAUUUAGGAAGCAUACUUUCUUAGUUGAUGAAGGUUAUAUUUGUGUUUCUGGAUGUGGUGGGGUGGAAUCGGUUCACCGUUUGUUUUUAACUUGUAAUAUUUUUGGUUUGCUAUGGUACUUGUUCGUGAUUGGGUGGGGGUCUCGGCAGUUGAUCCAAAUUCUAUAGUAGAUCAUUUCCAUCAUUAUGCUUAUUUAUCAUGUGGUCCGCAAAAAUAACAAUCUUUUAUGUGCUUAUUGUGGCUUGCUACAGUUUGGGAGAUUUGACAUGAAAGAAAUGAUAGAAUCUUUAAUUAUAAGGCAAAAUUUAUGUCUCACUUGUUGGAUAAGGUCAAGUAUUUAUCAAUGUGGUAGCUGAAGAAAAAUAUUGUAAAUAUUUCUAUUGGGUUAUUUUGGUGGUAGCAACGUCCUUUAGAUUGUUUGGAUACUAGUUAGAUGUUUUUAUUUUGUUUUUUCUUAUUGGUGAAGUGUUGUUUUUGAACUUUGUUACUCUUCCUUGACACAUCUUAUGCUGAGACGAACAUCUUUUAUCGUCUAAUAUAAAUUUCAUUUUGGCUUGUUAAAAAAAAUAAUUAAGGAUCCGAAACACUUAAAUACCCCCCGCAUCAAAUUAUAACGGUCAUUUUUGCCGUUACAAAUAAUUGUCGCUUUAAAUUAUUAAUGCAUCAUUUGUUAUUUCCUCGCUCAUACUUCCUUCGGUCACUAUUAUAAGCAAAACUUCACUUUUUAGAUACAUUGAAUAAUUAAUGUAUUGGUCUUAAAAUGUGAAAUUUUACUUAUAAUAAUGACCGGAUGAAAUAUAUCAUUGUUUAUUGAUUUUCACUUCAUUUAACCAGUCUACUAACUAUAAUUAAUAAAUGUGUUUUAAUAAAUGAUGAUAAUUUUAUCAUUGAUAAACUAAGCAUUUCCUUAAAAAUUAUGCACAAUUCAAAUAUAACAAUUAAAUUGACAGGGAGCGACCACAUUAUUAAAUAGUCAUUGACCACCAAAAUUGACACAAUUUAAAAACAUCCAGUUUUGUUUCUCUAGUUUUUACAUUUUUCUUUUUGAUUUAAAAAAAGCUAAUAAAAUUUAAUUUAAAUAAUAUAUAGUUUUUUUUCUUCAUAAAAUUAAUUAAUAUUUUGUCAAAAAUAUUAAUUUGUAUAAAAUUAACGAAUAAAAUAUUUAUAUUGUGAUUAUAUGUAAUCAAAUUCAUUAAUAUUUCAUAUUAAAUAUCAAAAGCAAGUAUUACCUCACUGGUCUAUUAAUUUAUCAGUCUAUUCAAACAUAUAUCAAAUUGUUUACUUAAAUACAUUCAUAUAAAACAAACUAACAUGUCAUAUCAGACAAUGAAAAUAUCAUACUAUAAAAGAUCGGUUGCAAUUGAAAAAUUCCACAAUUACACACGGUUUUUCAUUUAAGUCAUUGAAUAAAAUUACAACUUUCUUAGGUCUUUGUGACAUAAACCCAUCCAAAGACCAAGAAUAAAACAGUGGGAAAAGUUUUUUUUUUUUUUGAGAGAAAAACAGUGGGAAAAGUUAUUGCACCAAAACUGUGGAAAAAAAAAAGUAUUACUUCUACAAUAUUUUUUAAGAAGAAAAAGUAUAUUUGGUAAAAAAAAAAAAAGGGAAGUAAAAGUAUAUUUAAAUAUUUUAUUUUUACAUAUAUAUGGUAAUAAUUAGGUAUUCCAAUGGGCAUAUUGGGAAAAUCCAAUUUGAAACAUUCACUUAAAAAACAGUAGUGUUGCCGUGUUGGUUUGAAACCUUGGAGUGUGCUCCUCUCUUCAAGGUAUGAAGUUCGAUUCUCCCUAAUGCCAAUUCGUGUGAGCUAGUUUAGCUUCUUUUUUUUGUAAAAUUGAAGAAAAAAUGUAAAGUGAUGGAGGUCAAAGGCGAAGGAUGGUGACCUUUGCCAGGUCGUGUGUAUUUCCAAUAAAUCCUGUGUAGUGGGAUAAUGGAGCUCCGGCAAAGUCGUGGUGGAGCUCUAACAUUGACUGCCGCCACCUCACAACCAACUUUUUUCUUUCAAUUUUUUUGAAGAAAAUAUUAAUUUUAUCACUAAAAUCAAUAAAAUUAAUCAUUCUUUAAGAACCAUAAAAAUAUUUUAAUAUAAAAUACAAUCCAAUUCUUUAAAAUAUCACAUAUUUUUUUUAAGAAAUUAAAAUGGGAUAUAUUAACAACGACAGUGAGAGGUUCUCAGUACAAGGUGUACUAGAGAGUCCACCCCAAAAAACAAACAAUCAAACAAAGUAUUUUCACUUUAAAAUUUCAUAUUAAAUAUAAAAAAGGAGUAUCAUCUCAUUGAUCUAUUUUAACUUGUUAGGUGUGUUUGGUUUAACUUUUACACGAAUUGAUUUUGAAUGAAUUGAUUAUGUAAAACUGAUUUUGGAUAAAAAGAGUUGAAUGUAAAUUGAUUUACGUUUGAAUGUUUUUACAUAAAAGUGGAUUUAACAAUAAAUUUAAGGGUAAAAUUAAUCAUAAAAGCCAAAGCUACAAAUCUUAGCUUCAAGUAGAAUCAAUUCUACAAACAAAAUCAAGUCUACUUUAAAUCAUUCAAACAUCAUAAAAUCAAUUCUACAACCUCUAGAAUCACUUUUGACCAUCUUGAUUUGAAACCAAAUACAUGCUAAUCUAUUCAAACAUAGAUCAAAUUUUUACUAAAAUACAUUCAUAUAAAAUAAUCAAAAUGUCAUAUCAAAUCAUUGAGGAUCCGUUGCAAUUGAAAAAUUCUACGAUCACACACAGUUUUUAGUUUAAGUCAUUGAAUUAAAUUACAACUUUGCGAGGCCUUGUGACAUAAAUUCAUCCAAAGAGACCAAGAAUAAAACUGUGGGAAAAAAAUACUGCACCAAAACUGUGGGAAAAAAAGUAAGUAAAAGUAUAUUUAAACAUUUUUAGAAAGUAAAAGUAUAUUUUGGUCAAAAAAAAAAAAAAGGAAAUAAAAGUAUAUUUAAAAAUAUUUUUUUUACAUAUAUAUAGUACUAAUAAUUAAGUAUUUCAAUGGGCAUAUUGGGAAAUCCAAUUUGAAACGUUCACUUAAAACCUCUCCCACCAUAUCAUUUUCCUUUUCACUACUACACUCACUCUGUUCUCAAACACUCCAACACGACACAACACAAAACCGAACCUAUUCAUUCUUGUCGUUUUCUUGUUCUCUCUUUUUUCAAAUUCACUCGAAGAUGGAAGCUGAAGUGAUGAAAACGACGUCGUAUCAAGCUGAACCGGGUUCAUCUUCAAAGAACAACAAGAAAAUGGAUAGUUUCAGAACCGAGAUUGACACUUCAGCUCCAUUUGAAUCUGUGAAAGAAGCUGUUAACCUCUUCGGUGGUGUUGGUUACUGGAAACCCUUUCACAAUCUUCCAUCUCUCACUUCUCAUUCUAAGGUUCUCUCUCUCUCUCUCUCUCUAUAAUAUAUAUAUAUAUUGUUUGAACGAUUAAUAUUUAAUAGUGAUUUGUUGCAUUUUAUGGACCUAUUUGAAACUAUUUAUGUGAUUAUUAGGUGGCUUUGUUUUUUACUAGUUUGUUUCUUCAUGUUUAGCUAAUGCAUUAGUAUGAUAUAAAAUUUUGUUGGUGUUAUUUUGAGUGCUAGGGUUUGAAUGAUUAAUAGGAACUACAAUUAAGUUAUGUGUGUGUGUGUAUAAACAUAGAGAAAUGAUGUUAGGACUAUCAAAAUUUUGAUACCGAAAUGUGUAAGACGUUGUCAUUAUAGUUCCUCAAUGUAUCAAAUUUGCAAAUACAAAAACAAGUGUCAUUUUGUUUGUAAUUUAGAUGUCAAAUACGGUGUCGUUUGAAUUUUGUGUGUAAUUUUAAUAUGCGUGUAAUUUGUCACGUAUGGUGUGUCUGUAUUUUGAUGUUCGGAUAACAAAGUUGAUUGUUUGUAGAUGAAGAAUGUUGGAAAAUUUGGGAAGUAGGUAAUUAAUAUUGUCCUCAUUUAUAGUUACAUUGUCUGUGAAGGUUACUAGAUACUAUUCUAUAUAUGUUAAAUUAACAUCAAAAUUUUCCAACAUUAGAUUUCUUGUUUUUUUCCUUAUCUACAUCAAAAUUAGAUUUCUUGCCUAGUAUGUAUGUCACAGAUGUAUUUGUUUUCCCAAAAUGAAACAAUGUCAAUUCUGCUCACAAAAAGAUUUUAACUCAAGUUUUUCAACUCGUAUCCUAAAGUAUCAAAGAGGUAUUCCAAACAUAUCAGUCAUUAUUUUGUUUUCAAAAUUUCAGGGAAUGCUUCUUUGAUAUGCAUCUGAAAGUAUUGGUUAAGAUAUGGGUACAACACUAAUACUUCAUUAAUUUUGAGUAUUUGCGCUUCAUAGUACAUUGUUCUUAUAGAGGAUUCACACAAACGAAUAAAAUUAGUUUAUUAUUUUCCAUCACAGAGCUACAUUGUCCUUCUACACCCCCAUUUAAGACCAACUGUCAUGAAAAUCUGGCAUAGCAACUCAUUCUGUGUGUGAUUUAACUUUUACAAAAAUGUUCUCAUUGAGCUAUAUAGUAAAUUCUCAGCCUCUUGUUUGUUUGCAGCACCACAUAGAAGAGCUUGACAGGGAGAAACUAGAGGAGCAGGCAAGAGCGUUGGAGAAAGAACUGAUCCUAAAAGAAAGGGAAACUCUUGAUGUGUUGAAAGAAUUAGAAAAGACCAAAAGGCUUGUUGAAGAUUUGAAAUCAAAGCUGCAGAAGGAAGAAUCUGAAACGAUAUUGAAUCUCGGGAUGAGUGUGUGUGAUCAAAGGUUGAUUGUAGAGGAGAAAGAAGUAAAGGAAAACCAAUCGAGUCCGUCUGAGGUUCUUCAACCCAUGAAGGAAUGUUCUAUGCCUUCCCGUGUAUCUUCUCCAGACUUGAUACUAAUGGAAUUGAAGCAGGCCAAGUUGAACCUAACCAAAACUACUCAUGAUAUUGCCGAUGUACGAGCUACUGUUGAAUCUCUUAAUAAGAAAUUAGAGAAAGAAAGGAUCUCACUAGAGAAAACCCGUGAGAGGUUUACUCAAAAUUGUUCGAAAAUGUCUUGUCUUGAAGAAGAGCUAAACCAAACCAGAUUAAGACUACAAGUGGCAAAAGGUGCUGCUUCUGGAGAUCCUUUAGAUGUUACAACAGAACUCCAUCGAUUGAGUUCAGAGGCCGAGCGUUUCAGAAAAAAGAGAGAAUCUGCAAAAUCAGAAGUUUUAAAAGCACUGUCUGAGAUUGAGCUGACAGAAGCUAUGAUAAAAACUGCCGAAAUCAGGUUAGUUGCGGCAAGGAAAAUGAAGCAAGCUUCUAGAGCUGCAGAAGCUGCUACCCUUGCAGAAAUUAACGCAUUGUCUAGCCAUGAGGGUACACCAGAAGAGUGUAUGCAGAAGCACGAGGAAAUCACUCUUUCAGUUGAAGAGUAUACUACUCUGACUCGUAAAGCUCGAGAGGCCGAGGAACAAUCAAAGAAGAGAGUAGCAGAUGCUAUGCUUGAAGUUGAUGAAGCAAAUUCUUCGCAGAUGGAUGUUUUUAAAAGGGUAGAGGAAGCAACAGAAGAAGUUCAAACUUGCAAGAAGGCCCUUGAAGAAGCUCUACAAAGGGUAGAGGCUGCAGAUAGAGGGAAGUUGGAAGUUGAAGAGGCUUUAAGGAAAUGGCGAUCUGACGGUCAAAAAAGGCGUUCUUCGACGAAUAGCUGUAUGAAGUUUAAAAACUCUGGUCCAUCUGAUCAAAGGAGAGAUAUUAGGCUACUUGAUGUAAAUGGAUUGAAUUUGGUAAACGAUGAAGCGAAGCCUGUUUUAAGGCCAACUCUAUCAAUAGGACAAAUACUGAGCAGGAAGCUGCUUAUACCAGAAGAGUUUGAAGAACCGAUGGUGCAUGGAGAAAUAGUCUCGGUGAAACAGAAGGUGUCAUUAGGUCAUAUGCUUGGAAAACAUGAUGACAGUCCAUUGUUUGAUGAGCAAACUGAGAAAGAAAAUGGUCAAAAGAAGCAGUUUUCUGCUAAGAGAAAGAAAUUUGGGUUCGCAAGAUUCUCACAUCUUUUGUCAAAACAGCAUAAAAAGAAGAAGAAACCAAUGCUGAACUUGAGGUGAAUAGAUUAUUUGAUCAAUUUUCUCUUCCAUCUAGUCAUGUCAAGAGCUAGACUCAAAAAUAGCAUCUCCUAUUAGGCCUCAUCACAUUCCCUAUGUGCUGUUUUUUAUUUCACUCUUUUUAGAGAAACUGGAAUGCAUGGCUUUUAUAUUUUGAUGUACUAAAUAUAGCAUAUAAUUUAUAUGCUCAGUUAUGUCACUCUGCAUUUUGCUAUACAUUUUUUAUGGUAUUUAGGUUGCAGUCCCUGCUUUUAUAUUAACUUAGUUAUGCUUGUGCAAUUUCUUAACCUUAUUGUAAGUAGUGUUAUAAUGUUCAUUCUCUUAUGUUUUCAAGGUGUGUUUGAAGAGCUUAUUUAUAAUUUGAGUUUUAUCUCAUAAAGUAAACACUUAUAAGUUUCCUUAAAAUCUUAUGAGUUUUAAGGAAAGUGUUGUUCUAUGUAGAAAACUGAGAGCUUCUGUGUGGAUUUGUUUCCUUAAAAUCUUAUGAAUUUGAUCUUAAUUUUACAUUAGAUGAAACACCAAUAAUGUAGGCAAUAGCAUUCAUGUAUCAGAGAGGAAUACUUCCUGCAAUACAAGCAAUCCAUAAUGUUGAUUGGAGAAUAAGAAGAAUCAAUUCACAUCCCUUCGAAAUGCACAUUCUACAUCUCAUGGAAAUCGUGUUUUGAGUGUAAGAAUAAUUGCAUGAAAUAAUGCAUUGAGUAUGAAUUAAAUUAAACUAAUAAGUAUGAGAAAAGGGAACAACCAUCCACAACAAACUAGUUUUACAUCGACGUCCAAUAAAAAUUCAACAUUUUACGGUUAUUCUCAAAUUGUCGUGACAAUGUGAGCUUACAUGACAAUGUCGUGAGUUUUUAUGUGUUGGUGUAAAACUAUUUACAUCGACAAUGCUUCUCAACAAAUAUAGUAAAUUGUACAAGAAAUAAAAACUUGAUACACUUCCGUCUCAUUGUUUUGUUGAGUCAUAGUUUCGAUCAACCAUUUCUAAAUUCAAAAAAUAUGGUCCUUCAAUAUUAAUAUUUAAAUUCUCUGAAAUUUUAUCAUUGAAUGUAAAGCUUAUUUUACGACAAAAUCCAUUAGUACAUGAAGUGACAAUGCAUGUGUAUAUCAAUUUACACUUUUUAUUUAGAUUAGUAAUUUGGAUGUAAACAAGAUGGUAUGAGCCUUAUUAGGUAUUGUUGGUUUAUACUAUACAAAUGAUUUUCUUCCAAACUGCACGAAUUAAGGAAAUAACAUAUCAAAUUGGACGGACCAUAGACAAAAAUGCUUCAAAUAAGCUCCAAAAUGCACCAACGAAGCUUCCUACUCCCGUAUUCAUAAUAUUUUUGUACAUUACAUCAAGAAAAUCUUAGCAUUCUAAUUUCUAAAAAUAUCAUUCCAUUAACGUUAUCAUAUAAACCAAGAUCUCCCAUAAAAAAAUUAAAUGAAGAAAAAUGGUAGUUUGAUAAAUAUAGUUACUAACAUUACAGUACAUUAACAUCAAGAAAAUAUAAUGGAGUUAAUUAACAUUCUUCUUCUUCUCAAAUGGAGUACAUAUUUAGAAUUACCGAAAAUAUAAAAGUGGAAAUUCUAGUAGUGGUGUACCAAAAAGAAAAAUAAAUUCUAGUAGUGCUAUGCUACAUAAUAAAGAAACUUUUCCAAAAGUUAAACUUAUGAUUAGGAAAAAUGUGCCUUCCUUAAUCCCUAUGGCCACCCCUUUGUUGCUUAAGAAUAAAGACUACUGUAGUAAUGAGUUGUCUAUUCACUUUCCUCUUUUAAAUUUUCUUUCAAAUAUACUUUUAUCAAUAUGACAAUAGAUUCAAGAGUGAGGUACACAAUACCCUUCCACAUUGAAUAAAUUCUCAAUCUCUGAAAAUGGAAAAAAGCAUUGAAUGGUAAGUGAAGUUAACAAACCAACCAUCUUCCACUAUCCCAACCUACACGCCACUCCAAGUCCUAUAGGAAGGGAGGAAUAAUAUUUCAUUUCUCAUUCUUUAUAAUCUCAAAAAAUAAAGGUAAUCCUUCUUCUUCCUCUCUUUGCCAUGCAACUUUGAAAUUUCAUAAGGUAGUUUUGAAGUUUGAAAAACAAAAGAAAAAUGUUAUGGUCAAAUAUCUUUUGCUACAUUGUUAUGGUUCUAUGUUUUAGCUUGAACUUGAACCUUUGAUGCUGUGAUAUAUUAUUUAAUUUAAUUUAAUUAUCAGGAAUUACAUGCAAGGAUGUUGUUGAUAGACUGAGUUUUUCCACAGAAACAUGGUGCAUUUUUUUUGUUAUUUUAUAAAAAAUAAAUAUUAUUUGAUUGAUAAUAAGCUAUUUUUUCCCAAAAUAAUAAUAAUAUAUAGUUUUAUAUGCUAUUUAUUUCUUAUUUAUUUUUUUAGUUCAUCUCAGGAAAAUUUGGCAUCUGUCUAAAAGUUUUCCUUUAUAAUUGCCCUGAGUUUUUUUUCACUAAUGUCUGUUUUUUUCCUAGUAGAAAGUUGACAUUUUCAUCUUUAAUUUUUUUAUAUAGGAACCAUGGAAGGGAGAAUUGGACUUUUGUUUAUUGUGGUACUAGGUUUUGCUCUGGCUUGUGAUGCAAGAGGACUUGCAAACCCUUGGAGCAUCAUUGCUGCAAACUCAGCCUCUUCUGGUAACAUUGUUUACUGUUACUGAUAUCAUUCUUGUUUGCAGUAUUCUGAAUCUUCUAUUUAUUAAUGAAUAUUGGUGAAGGAGCAAAAGUUUAAGUAAAUGCAUUCUGUAAUGUUCGAGCGCUUGCCCACUUAUCAGUGAAUAUGAGUCGCAUUCAACGAAUAAGUAAGCUAAGGUUUGAUUAAAAUUAAGGCAUAACAGUUUCUAAAAUGAGAUAAAUGCCAAAAGAAUCGGAUGGAAUAUGGAAUACUAAUUAAUAAGUCUUGGGGACAUGUUAUCUGCUGGUCCCAUAAGAUUCCUGCUAUGGUGAGGUCCAUGGAAGAUUCAGAUCCAUUUUGAAUAUAUUAUAGGUAGUCUUACCUUGCAUUUGCAAAAGGCUGAUUUUACGACUCAAACCUUAGACCUUUCUAGUCACACGAUAGGCCCCUACUUCAAAUUCUCUCAGUAACAAUAAUGAGAAUAAAAUUAAGUAUAAAUGUAUAAUUGCUGAUUUUGUCGGUCAAUCAUACGGCUAAGACAGUGACUUGAUCAGUGUUGAUUUAACAAAAACAAGAGAAAACAAACAUAAGAUGAGUUUUGAGGCAUUGCUAUGUAUUUUUUUUUUUGUCGAACCAUAUUCGUGAGACGAGUAAGACUAUGAGGGUAUGAACUUCUACAUAUAAGUAGCAACAAUUGUGUCACUGUCUCAUUCUUGAGGAUGAGUAAUAUUAUGAGCUUCUGCGUAUGAGGAGCAGCAUCAAUUGUUAUUAUAUUUUCAAACCAUUUUCAAACAUAGGUUCCCCGUAAACCAUACAAGACACUUCCCCACCUUAGACAUCACUUUAAAUCAAAGAUAAGUGUGGGAAGUUUCUGAUUUCUCUUUGUAGUUUAGAGUCAUUAAAACAUGAUUUUGUAGGAUACAUUAAUAAGUGAUAUAUGUUACCAAACGUACAAAAUUAAUUGACAUUGCUGUGGGUGUGCUAUAAGUUAUAGGCAUGUCCUCACAUUAGCUAUCUAUGACAGGCCAAACAGGGGUCUUAAAGUCUUCAAUUACUGAACUGAUAAUAUGACCUGUAAAUCCACCACCUCCAUACCUAAAACUGCUCGAUGCAUUCUUUAAGGACUUACAGGAAGUAAGAUAUGGAUAUUUCUUGUACUCUGUCUAUGAUUUGAUAGACAUGAUGAUAUAGGAAAUUUAUGGGAUGAUUUUAAGUGACAGCAGAUGGCCGUCGACAAACAAACCUGUGCAGUUUGGCCACCCUACACUGCAAGGACAGGGCGAUGAUAUGCAAAUAUAUCAUGAAUACAAGGGAAUAGACAGUAUUUCCCCCUUAGUUUAUUAUAUUGUUUAUAUUGAAUGAUUUCGUAUGAAUAGUUGUUACAUAUUUAUCUGAGAAACCUGGUCUUGAUAUUAUAAUCUGAACUCAUGACCUGUCCACCAUGUUAUGACAGAAAACUGUUUCCUAGAGUUCCAGCUUGUGGCUUAUAUGGUUCUUGUUGUUAAGUUGGUUAUGAAUAUAAGAACGCGUAUGAGUAUGGAUGAGACUAUCAUAGUUGACUACUGUUAGUCCCAAGUACUAUCAAGUUAAACUUAUUUAGGCUUGAUCACACACACACACACAAAUAUAGACGCUCAUUCCUUAGACAUUUACUGCAAAGUAAAGAUCUGCAUACCAAUUAUUAAGAAAUCUACUUUUGCAGUUCAUACAUAUGCAUAACAACGUUUGUGAAGCCUUGUGUAUUUAGUGUGAUUUAUUGAUUAUGAUAUACUAAGUAUAAAAGGUACAUUAAUGCUUAGUAUAUACUGAGGGCAAACUCCUAUAUCAUUCAUGUAAAUUGGAUGCUAUGAAUUUAUAUAUGGAAGAUGCUUAUUUGUACAUUUGUUGAAAAAAUAAAGGAUAAUUUAAUAGUAAAUAUUGUAAAAGGAGAGAGUGAGACAGGAGUGCUAGUUGAUGAUGAUAACAACAUGAUGGGGAGAAAUGGAGAAACACAUGAGAGAUUCAUUAUGUCACAUGAAGUUUAGAUAAUGGUUCGUGCUUUUAGAGGUGCAGUUUGUUUUCAGUAUUUUGGUCUGUUCAGUCAAGAAAAGAGCAAGCGGCAGCGUCAGAGACCAAUUUUGAAAACAAAGAAUAACCAAACCUAGGAGGAAAAUUCAGUAGGGACUAAUUAACUAAAGAGCUACAAUUUCAUCAAUAGAUUUUUCCUAUAAAAUUUUCCGGUCAAAUUCUGUAGUAUAGGUGAUAGAUGCAUAAAAAGUACUCUCUUGUUAACUUUCACUGUGUUUGGUAAAUAGUUUAAUUAAGUGCUUUGUACUCAUAAGCUACUUUUGGGACCUUUAUUAUAAAAAUAUAAAUCGAAAAUAACUUAUUGACAUAUAAUAAGUUAUUUUUUUUAUAAGUGUAUCCUAACACUAAUAUAGCUUUUAUGUCAUGAGAUAUACCAAACAAGCUAUUAUAAAUGCUUCAUUAGUACUAAACAAGCCAAUUUGUCAAUAAAAUAAAACCGAUAUGAAAAUCUUUGUUUUGUUAUGUCAUGAGACCAUCACAUGAAAAUCUUUGAUACUUGCAAGAAUAUUUCUAUGUUAAAUACAUUUUGAAAUGCAAAUGCGGCAUGCAUAAUUUAUUUUGUUUACCUUUCUUCAUACUGCAGAACUAGGCAGAAUACCAGAUGUGUGUGCACUUUGUGAGGAAUAUACUACCAAGGCACUUGAUUAUAUAAAUGAAAACAAGACUCAGAGUGAGAUCAUUGAUAUUCUUCAUAAUACUUGUCACCAGCUUCACACUUUUGAGAAGAAGGUUGGUCACCUUUUGUAUCUUGUGUUUUGGUUUCGGUACUGUUAUCAGUCAUUGUGAUAACCUAUGUAGCACCAACACUUCAAAUUGAAAUCGUGCCCAAUAUCUGACAUGUGUCAGCGUCAGACACUGACACAUGUGAUUGCAUUCAGUUACUUCAUUUUCUCAAAUUAUUAAUGGUAUCAGUGUAUUCGUAUCAGUGCCGUGUCUAUCGCUGGUGUUUGUGUCAGUUACUUCAUUUUCUCAAAUUAUUGAAUCUUGAUGAAUUCAUGUGUUUUUCUGAAUUGUACAGUGCAUCAACUUGGUGGACUAUUAUCUGCCACUUUUCUUCUCAGAAAUGACCUCAGUUCAGCCUGGAGAUUUCUGCAAUAAGGUCAAUCUCUGCCAGAACAUUGCUAAUAUUUCCUUAAAAGUUCAAGAAAAUACCUGCGAGUUUUGCGAAGAAACUGUUUCAUCUCUAUUGGAUAAGAUAAAAGAUCCUGACACAGAGGUUAGUUAUCUCAUCUUGGUCCUAUAUAGUUUAAAUUAGACUACCUUUUAUCUAGUAAAGUCUAUGUUUUGCUGCCAAAUGAAAAGAAAAUUUGAUAAUAAUUAAUAUAUCAUAUCAAAGUAUAUGUACUAUAUUUUAGUAGGAGCGAAAAUAUGUAUCAAGUGGAAAAAGAAAGAUAUAUGGGUGCGUUUGAUUUGCUAAAAAAUGAAGGACAGGACAGAACAACUCUAGUUGUCCAGUGUUUGAUUUGUAAAACUGUUUCAGGUACAUGACAAACUGGAGGCAAGGGACAGGACAAAAUCUCAUAUUUUUGUCCCUCACCAAACCACAGCACAACUUUUUGUCCCACGUACAAGUUGUCUAAAAUACCAAAAUAGCAUUUUGUCCCUAAAAAAUCGUAUAAAACAAAAAAUUACUCAAUGCCAUAAAAAAUUUGUCCUGUGCUGUUCUGCCUUGUGUUGUACUGUUCUAUCUUGUCCUGUUCUGUCCAGUACUUUCUGUUUUGCAAACCAAACACACCAUUGAUUUUGGCCAUUUUUGUUGACCCAUUUAUUCGCUUGAUCGGAAUUACAUUUUGUGGAAUGCAAUGCUUACCUUUUUUUUCAUUUUAAAAUUUCAGCUGGAGAUAAUUGAGAUACUACUGAAAGUGUGCAAUUCAGUGGACAAGUUUGGGAGCAAGGUAAGAAAAAUCUGAGAAUUUUCCACAAUUUUCUGAUAAUUCUAUACUAAUCGCACCUCCUAGAGAAACAAAUUCUACUCCUACAAUUAUCUUCAUAUACUAUAAGGAGUGAUUUCAGACCUUGAAAAAUGGUUGUCAAUUGUAUCGACUCGUAUGAAAUUUUGUAAAUGUAAUUUUCCUAAUCAACCUUUUUUCUCAUCGACUGAUUUGGUUUUUUUCGUUACUCUCCCGAAAUGUUUGCAGUGCAAGAAGAUUGUUCUAGAGUAUGGUCCCUUGGUAUUUGAAAAUGCAGAGAAAUUCCUGGAGAAGACAGAUAUAUGCACUGCAUUACAUGCUUGCAAGGAAUCAACAGUAGUACUUGAAAAGUCCUUUCUUUCGGACCUCUUAAGUAUCUUUUAUGGAAACAAUAUUUUUAUCAGAAUGGUGCAAUUGCUGAAGAUUGCUCUAUUUUGAGACACCACUAAUGUAAAGUAUUUUAUACUAUUGGCACAUCAUAAAAAAUGUUAGUUUCUAAGAAGUGCUUGUGAGAUAGUCAACCUUGUUUAAUCCAUUAUUGAAGGCAACCUAAGUUAAAUUUUCAAAGAUGUUAUCCAUAUAUAUAUGCUUAUGAUGUUCAUUUUGAAAGCACAUGAUAUUGAUACUUGUUUCAGAAUGAAUUUCCAAUUACUGCUGUAAAAGUUUAAAUAUUUUUGCUCAGUCUUUUGUGUAAUUUGAAUGCUUUGCUCUUGUUGUGUCCUGCAGCUUGUAUGAUAGUGUUGUGUUGCAAUUCUUUUAGUCCCAAACUAAAAGAAGUAACUUCUAAAAGUGAUUCAAACUAAAUUACUCUUGCAUCAAUAGCCAAUAACCACUUGUGUUUGAAAAGAAUAAGGCAGAAUAUUCUUAACUUUUAAGCAAAGAGAGAAAUGAGAAGUGCUCACUGAAAUCAAUCUUGCUCCAAUCCACACCAGUUUUAAACAUCGAAAAUGUCAAAUCGGUUGCUAACAUUAGCGACGUUUCCCUAAUCAGUUUGGUCACAAACUUGUUUAAUGACUGUUUUAGAGACCGAUUAUAAAAUUUGGUCGCCAAAUCAGGUUGCUAUGGAGAGUGAGAUGAGUCUGUCACUGAAUUGAUUGCUAAAUAGUGAAAUUUUAGUGAUAUAUAGUCAUAAAAAAAGAGUAGCCAUGCUUUCUCUUCAAAAAACUAAGCCAUGCUUUCUCAAAAUAUUAAUUUAGUUGUAAGAGACUGCAUGGUCACUUUAAUUAUGUCUUACUUUCUAGUAUCUUGACAACUUUCUCCAAUUUUUAAGAUUUUCUGCCAUUUCCUUUCAAAUUUGUCAUGCUUCCAUCCGUAUGUCUUGUUUAUUAAUAAUUAAUUAUUAGUAUUAAUUGAUACGUACAACUUGAUUAAGACACAUUCAUGGUUAUUAUUUUAAAGAGUCCUUUUUUUUAGGGUGUUUUUUAAAGAGUUCUUAUUUCCUUCAAAUAAAAUACAAUUGAGUUAUUUGAACUUGAGAAUAUAAAUGUCAUAUGUGACAUUGCAUAUUCGAAUUGUUGUAUAUUGGGCUCCCUACCUUUGUGGUUGUGUUAUUUGAACUUGAAAAUAUAAACAUCAGAAGUGGAGAAAUGUCAUAUUGGGGUCGAGAAGAGAGUGUUUUUGGUGAGAAGAGUAGCCAUCAGAAGAGAGAUUACAACAAUUUUCAGGAUCUUCCUUUUCACCGUUCGGAUCAUCAAAAAGAGUUCUUAGCAUAGAGAUAUUUUCCUCUCACUAAAGCAGUAUUCUUAGGAUAUUUUUCAUAUUUCUUGUUCUCAUUUGUCAACUUUGUUGCUUUGGCUAGUUAUUGGCCCUGGUUGUGCAUCACCUUUUGAGACUCCCUUGUACCCACAUUUAAUUCUAGAGGAGCUAUUCCAUUUGUCUGGAUGACUUGUUGUUUUUAUUAGAGCUAUUCGUUUAGCCGAUUAAUUAUAGGGCUUGAGCCUUAAAUAUUGAGUCCGAAUUUUUAUAGGAUUUUUUAGCCCGACCCUAAAAAACCUGGUACCCGUUAGGGCUAUCCCAUUAACCCACAUAGAGAAAAAAAAUCAUAUAUAUUAUAUAUAUUUUUUAAAUAAUUAUUUAUUUUUUUUGGAGCAAAAAUAAUUAUUUACUUAGUUGAUUAUCAAAGUAAAAAAUAAAAGUGAAAAUUCAUUGAAUUUACACGCAAAUAUAAAAGUAAUAUAAAAUUAUAUUUACUUGUUUCGUUAUUUAUAAUUUUAAAGAUCAAAUAUAUAAAUAUUUAUAACUAUAAAGUACGUAAUUUAUUUAAAAUUGUAUUCCUCGCCAUUUUAGUUUACGAUGUUUGUACGAAAAUGUUUACAAUUUUUUUUUUUAUGUCAGACGUUAUUUAAACAUAUUAAAAAUAUUAUUUAUAACAAAUUUUAAAGAUUUUUUUUUCAAAAGUAAUUUUUAACACGUGUCGGCCUGUGAGAGCAGGCUAGAGUAAUACUUUUCAAACCCGUAUUUCAACUGAGCUUUUGGGUUGUCCCAAUAAAACCCAAAGUCCGUUAGGGCCGAUCCUAAAAAGAUCAGAUAGUCCAUUUUAACAGCUCUAAUUUUUACCUUUACAUUAAGUGGUUUUCCACGUUAAAAUAUAAGUGUUUAUUUGUAUCUUAUUUGUUUUCAUUGUUGUUGCUCCUUGUAGAUUCUUUCUUACAAGUUUAAGAAAUUUUUAUUUCCGCUACACAUAGAUGUGUAACCAUAUAUUUAUGUGUUAAUUUUCCAUCACAAAAAAUACACAAAAAUCAAAAGACACAUCGUCGACAUCAAAAUAUUUAGGUCGACAAAUCAUUCUCAACAAAUGUGUGGUACCACAAACUUGGGAAUCAACUGCCAUGAAAUAGAUUUUAAGAUGUAGCACCAAUACAAUAUUUCCAAGUGUCAAACAAUUAACUGGAAACAAACGAGCUAGAUAGUGAUAUCACACUACUUUGUUUUCCUCCUUUAAUUUUCCUUCCUACAAUACCCACUAGUUUUUUCUUGACCUAUAAAUGGAUAAUGGAUUGGACAACAACAUUACGUGUAUAAAUCCCCCUUCCUUAAUUUCCAGGGACCACCUACAUACAUAUGCAAUGAUAUUUUCAUACAUUAUAGUUGUGUAAAUUGUGCUAGAAUUAAGUUUAGGUUAAGAACAAAGAAAAAUAUCCAGUUAGGCAUAACCUAUGUAUGGAGUUUGUGACAUGUACAUAUCACGAGGCAACAUCAUUAUUUUCAAGAAUAUGGUAGAGGCCUAGAGGGGACAUUUUUUCUUUCAUGUUUCAUGAUGUUUCAUGCCUCCAUCUUUAAGACUUUUUUAAAAAAUAAAUAAAUAAAUAAAAUUCUUUCUCUCUUCUUUGCAAUAAAUGGUGGAGGUUUGAUCGGAUUCUUGUUUCAUAUAAGAGGAUCUAUUCCCUUCGAGACCAUACCCAUUAAUGUGACAUGCAUAUCAAAGAGACAAUUUGAUUUGAAAUGUUCACCGUAUAUAUAUUACUCUCUCAUUCUAAUAUGAGGCAAUUGUCUAAUUUUAACAUGUGAUUAUCUCAUCAUCAAAUGACUUGUCAAUUUGAUUAUUAUUCACAUCUAAGUCUCCCUUCCAUUCAUAUCUAGAAAAGGAAAUAAUUCAAACUCCUCUAUAUUGCUCCUUUUAACAAAUAAAAAUCUCAAGGGAAGUUUGUAAUGAUGAACGUGCUUUUAUAAGAAAAGGUCAUUUAGUUUGACUUUAGUUUACUUUGAUGUACGCGGACCAUCACGAAUUCCUUAUAAAAGGUGGAUCAAAAUAUUAUGUCUCAUACUCAUUUAUCAAUUAAUCAAGUGAUUGGAUUCAAGUGGUUAGUUAAUAAGUUCUUUUAAAAGACAUCUCACUUGAAAGAAUUUGAGUUCGAUUCUAAAAUAAAUUUUUGCCAGAAUUUACUUACCUCGUGGACAAACUCUUAAUCACUAAGACAUUCUUCCUUUAAAAAUCAAAGGCUUAAAAUAAAAAAUAUUACCUUCAUAUAAAAAAACACUGAGCUAAGGGACGAGGACUUGUAGAUAUUGGAUUCAAACUCCAACAAAUGAGAAACUAAUGUAUCAAUUAAUUACUAACAUUUUUUGCCAUCACAAGCCACUAGCUUAAUUUCCAUAAACGAAUGCAACCAUUAACAAUGAAACCCAACUUUUGAAAUUAAUUAUAAAUAUAGUAAAAAAUAAUAAUUUGUAAACACGAGCAGCAUCAAUACUUUAAUUCAAAACAUAAAAUUCAAAGUGAUAAGUGAUCAAACCCUAUCCUGAUACAUGACGCGUACGUUAGCAACUAUGCACUUUUUUAAUUCAUAUUCUUCUUUUCUAACAAAAAAAAGUACAUUCAACCAAAUUUUCUAGUUUUUUAUUUUUUUAAUUUGUCAGUAAUUUAUUUAUGGAAACAGCCAAUGUUUACUCGUAUUGUUAAUUUGUUAGUAUUAGGAGUGGUUUAAUUGUUUUUUUAAUCCAAAAGUUUGACUGUAGAGACCAAAGAAAUGAGAAGAAGAAACAAAAUUGGUGUUGCCGGAAGAAAUGAAAUUUGAAAAGCUUAGCAAAGUGUUUAUUUGCAACGUUAAUGAGGAUAACAAUAUAAAUACAAAAAAUUAGGAAUCAUUGAAUAAUCCCAAUAAAAUCAUAUUUAUUAACCAACCCAUAUUUCAAUUGGCACGGUAAUACUUUGAAGAUGAUCAACAUUCUUAAAAUAGUUUGGUGUUUAUUAUUUUAUUAAAAAUGGUAGGUUUAAUAGAUAGAGUUGAGUUGAGUUUGCUCGUGGUCUUGAUUUUAAGCAAAAGUAAAGGUUUCUAAAACUUUGUAUUUACAUUGAUGUACUUAUCCUUUUUUUUCCUGGUUUCCACAAAUUCCCUUUGUUAGAGGUAAAGUAUUGUUUGUGAUAUCAUAUAAUAACGCUAAAUAUAGAUGUCUCUUUCCUCUUACAUAUGAAUAUUGAUUGAUUCAUUGCCUAAAAAAAGAAUAUCGAUUCGUUGCCUAAAAAAAAAAAGAAUAUUGAUUGAACAUGUCGUGCUAAUCUCCUUUUUUUGGGUAAGAAUGGGUGCUUAUCCUUAGGUUGCUCAUCUUCUUGAUUUGAACAUUUACUCUAUUUGAUUUGAUAGGUAUAUUUUUGUAAAAUGGAUUAGAAUGCCUCGUAAUAUUUUAAGUAAUGUAUACAUAUUUUUACAAAAUUAUCUUAAAUAAUUAUAUUUAAUUGUAAAAUGGAUUAGAAUGCCUCGUAAUAUUUUAAGCAAUAGAGUCUUAAAGGCUUGUUAUGGUGAGGUUGGGGGGCGGCUGCAGGAGGGUCGUGGUAGACAUGGUUCAUCGUGGUGGAGGACGUUGUGUCGUAUUUGGAGUGGGGUUGGUGAGGGAGUGGGUAAUUGGUUUGAAGAAAACAAUCGUCGAGUUGUAGGCAACGGUCACAAUGCUUUAUUCUAGUUCGAUAACUGGCUUGGGGAAAUGCCUUUGCGCUUAAAAUUUCCUCGGCUCUUUGAUCUGGCUGUGAAUAAGGAGUGUUUGGGGGAGGAGAUGACGAGACUAGGGUGGGCGGUCGGGGGGAGGGCAUGGGUGUGGAGACGUCGCUUGUUGUCUUGGGAGGAGGAUAGUGUGAGGGAGUGCACUUUACUGUUACAUAACGUUGUUUUGCAGGUUAAUGUCGAUACUUGGCGAUGAAUUUUAGAUCCUGCCCACGGAUAUUCAGUUCGGGAAGCCUACCCCUCCCUUACAUCUUUUGGUGAGCAGGUGGAUAAGAGCCUUGCUGAUGAUGUUUGGCAUAGGUACAUAGCUGCAAAAGUGUCUAUGUUUGUGUGGCGUCUUCUUCGCAACAGACUUCCAACCAAGGACAAUUUGUUGAGGCGAAGGAUUAUUCUUGUUAAUGAUGUUGCUUUUGCUUUUGGGUGUGGUGAAUCGGAAUCAGCAACUCACCUCUAUUUGGAGUGCGAAAUUACCAACAGUGUGUGGCAUGUGCGAAAAUGGCUAUGCUCAUCUACGGUGUACCUUUGUCAGUUGAGAGAUCAUUUCACACAGUUCUCUUUUAUGGCCGGAAUGCCGCGAAGUUCUCACUAUGUUUUUAAAGUUAUUUGGUUUGCUUGUAUCUGGUUGAUAUGCGGGAUCAAAUCCUUCCGUCCUCAUUGAGAAAAUCAAACUGAAUUCCUUUUUAUGGCUGAAAGCUAAAUGGCCGUCCUUUAAUUUUUACUAUCAUGAUUGGUGGCAACAUCAGCUUCCUUGUAUGAGUGUUCGCUUCUAAUUUAUUUUAUCUAUUUUGGUGGUGCCUCUCUUUUCAUGGCACCUGACUGCUGUAACUCUUUGAGCGGUGUUUCUCCUUACCACAUAUUGUGCAGGAAUUUGCACCAUUGUUGUUAAUAAAUAUAUCAUUUUGGUUUGUUCAAAAAAAUAUUUUAAGCAAUGAAUAUAUUAGUGUAUAGAACAGAUCGUGCAUAAUACAAUGAUAUUUACAAAAUUAUCUUAAAAAAUGAUUUUUAUAGUUCAAUCUAAUAUAUUUCAUUUUUUGAAAUAAUUUUUUACUUAUCUUUCAUUAGUUAAUACCGAAAAAUCUUUGUUGAUAUUUUUAAUUUGAAAUUGUAAAAAUAGAUCAAAAUUUUAUCUCAGAAACUUAUUAUAAAAACUCUAAUUGAUCUGUCCAACCUAUAUGGAUAAAGACUAUCCAAAGCCAUGUAUUAGUGUUUAUAGAGAUAUUUUCAUGAAGUUAAUCUUUUGUCUAUUCAUUCGUUUAUAUAGCAUGUGAUUAACUUCCAUUUAUAUAAUUUAUAAAAAAAAAACUUUUUAGAGGCAUAAUUUAUUAAGAUGAAUGAUCCUAAUGAUAUCAUGAUGUGAAAUAUACGAUUAUUCUUCACGGAACGUGCCAAAUUUCGGUAAUGUUGUUGUGAUAAGAUUGAUGAUAUUCUCUUUUAAGAAACACAAUGUUUUUGGGUACAAAAAGAAACUAAACAAAUGUCCUUGAUGUGAAGGGAUAAGCUCUGAUAAUAGUGUUUCUGAUUUGCAUUGUUGUCGUUAUUCUUAUUCUUAAUAAACUUCAUUUCAGACUCGGAUUAGUUUAUUUAUUUAUUUUUAAUUAUCUAAAAGAUAAUAAGUAUUCAAUGCUAUAUUUAGUAGGACCUUGAUUUGAUGCUGUCUGUAGGUACAAGUAUUCACGCAAUCAUACGGCACAAGUUGUUCGAUCUAAAAUUCAGCUUGGCAUAUUUUAAUAGUAGAGUAAAAAUUAAAAUUAUGAUUUAGAUUGGAUCGUUACCGAUGUUUUGACUGCAUGAUAACAUUGAUAGUAGAGAAUCUUACUUCAUUUAGUAGUGACUAUUAUUCACUAUGAUUUAUCGAACACUCGUAAUAUGAAUGUCCUCUCAAAUGAGUUUUCUUUAAACGCAAAAAAAAAAAAAAAAAAAAUAGAACCCUUACUUUAUUUUGAACUUCUUACCAUUCAGAUGAACCUUAUUUUUAAUCCUAUCUUACACGGGAUGGGUAUUUACUGAAUAUUAAUAUUUUUAAUGGGUAGAAAAUCACUUCAUAUAUUAAUAUUUUAUUGGGUAAUUACAAAUAGAAAACGGCAUAUUUCCACUUUUUCUAUUAUCUAUUUUAUAUAUAUUUAUAUUAUUCCUUUUUUAUAAUACAAAGAGACAUAAGAAAAGUACAAAUCAAACUUAGUUUGAGAUAUAGUCUAGAUAUGAUAUGAUUAAUUUAAAAAGUUAUAUCUAUGGAAUUGAGUUAAGCAUAAAAUGAAACAAAAUUACAAAACAUCUCACUAGUAAUGAACAAUGUUUUAUUCGCCACAUUUAAAAGAUGAUCACAACAACAUGACUUGUUAUCCAUUUUGUCGGGUUUUUAUGUUUGUCUUUUACAUACCAUCUACUAGGGGUGGAUAACAAGUUGGGUUGGAGAGAGAAUCAGACGACCCAAUCUGCGAGUGGAGUUAUGAGACCCAAACUCGGCCAUUUUUAGGCUUCGGAUUAGACGGGUCGCAUGUUACUGUUUAGGCUAGUCAUCGGUCCGAUUUUGCGGGUUAGCCCAUUUUAAGAAUAAGAAAGUUUUGAGGACCAAAUCGAAAACAAAUAGGAAGAAAAAAAAACCAGUAACGUUUUUUCACACCUUCCUUUAGAAACAAAGAACAACAAAUCCAAAUCUUACAUGUUCAUAUCUCAUGUCCAAAUCUCAUAUUUCAGAAUGAUAAAAUAAAAACGCAAGCAUGCUUGAAGCAAUGGAACUUGAAAAAAAAUGGGUUUGUAGUGUGCAUAAAGAAAGAAGACCAACGAAAAACAUCACUGAAACUUGGAAAUAAUUUUUAGUAUUACUAUUUUCUAUAAGUAACCAUAAUUAGAACUCAUAAAUCAUGAUAUCAUUUUCAAAUUAUUUUAAUGUUUGAAUGUUGCAUACAAUUUUAUUCAAACGAGUUAGGACCACCAGAAUUCUCUUCUCUAGCGUAGAAAAUGUAGUGUUAAUGUCGGCCACAGAAAAAAAAAAUUAUGAAACAAAUAUUUAGCUUUAAUGUAAAAAAUCCCCCUAAACAGAAAUUUAUUUCACUAUAUUUAAUUUCUUGUAAAAACAAAUAAUUCAUAUCAAUAAAAUGUAUAUGUGGUCUAUAUUUAAAAAGAAAACAGAAAUAAUGUAUGGUUACCCUCUAGUGGGCAACAACAAUAAUACGUAACAUCCUCUCAAAAAAAAAAACAAUAAUACGUAACAUAAAACAUGAACACCUGCGUUCAGCUGCUACGAGGCUUCAAAUUAUAUGCAAUGUGUCGAUCCAUGAUUUGUUCUUUGUCGUGAAUCACAAGAUUGUGAAGUUUCAUUGUUUGUUUUUGUCCCACCAAUCAAACAAGCCUAUUUUGUUGAUUCUUCAUUAUUCCCCAUCUUAAUUAAAUAGAUAAUUAUAUUAUAUUUACCCUUUUUUUGUUGAGUGAUAAUGAAUCAAUUUCAUAUUUUGCUUUGUGUUAGAUAAAUACUACUACAUGAUCGAUGUGCAUGAUGAAUAAUAUAAGCAUAAAAAAAUAAAAUAUAUGUAUAUAUUCUUUCUUUUUGGUGUGAAGCGUGUAUCAUUGACACGCAACUUAAGAACUUAAUCUUUUGAAUCGAUAGAAUCACGAUUGGUGAUAAAAAAUUUCUCAAAAUAUUUAACAUUGUUGCUGAAUUCAAACUCAUGAUUUUUAUUAUUAAAAAAAGUACAAUAUGAUGGCUAAAUGGACGUUGAAGUUGCUCCUAAUAAGUUGGCAAAUUAGGUGAAUAGUUUGUCCUUAAUUAGAUUAAACUUUGCUUCAAAGAAUACUAUAAAACUUGCUAUAAAAAAUAUAUAUAAAUUUUUUAUUUAAUGGAAUCAUAUGGUUGUUGAUAUGCUUCCACUUUCAGUAAUUUUAUAUAGUUUUGAUGCUAAAUAUCUUUGAGCACUUGAAUAUUUUAUGUCAACAAGAUUACAGCUUCUGUUUUUAAUAUAUUUUAAGUUUAAAAAGAACUCAUCCUCAUCUUUUCAACCUCAUCUUAUUUUAACUUUUUCAAAAUGUGCUAGUAUUUGAGUUUAAUUUAGUGCAUGUUUAGAUCUUAGUUGUGUAUAGUCUCAUUUUCUUGCAAUCUUUAAUUGCUAUUAUGGAUAAACUUUACUGUAAACAUUAUCUUUAAUGUACUUAGAGCAUAUGUAAUGGCAACGUGAAAGUUUAAUAGAAUAAUGAACUCGUUCCUUAUUUGUUUUAUUCAUUCGAGAAAUUUGAGAUGAUAAAAUUGACUAUAUAAAUAUUGUCAAUAUGGUUUCUUGCAAUUUUCUCUCGAGUCAAUUUAAUUCUCGACAAAAAUUAAAUUCACAUUAGUGUUUAAUAUUAUUGUAUGAAAGAUAAAUUAAUCUUUUGACUCGUUAUAAUAGAAAAACUAGUUUAUCUCUCAUAUCAAUAUGUUAUGGAUUAAUGCGGUUUUUUUUUUUUUUUUGUGUCCGGGAAAUAAAUUGACACGAUAAAAAGGGACCAUAUUGUGUCUUCAAUCAUAGUUUAAUUAAUUUAUGGUGUGAUUAAAAAUUGUUAAGAAAUUUAUACUUUACUAUGUAUUUCAUUAAAAUUUAAUAGGAAUCUAUUCUAAUUACCUUGAAUAAUAUCUGCAUUUUUGUGAACUUGUUUUGGAAAACGAGUCAGAAUGAUUUGAUACAUUGACUCUUUAAAUGAGAAAAUGUCGACUAAAGAAAGCAAAACAAUUUCUAUAAAUAACGUUAAGAAAAUUUGAAAUAUUAGUAAUAUAGAAUCAAUUGCUUUUAAUUUGGACUGAUUUUGACGAUACAAAAAAUAAUGUGAAUAAAUAAUAAUUAAAACUAUACUUUUUUAAAAAAAAAAAUCAGCAAUAUCUGGCUCUGACAGAAGUAAACGUCACUAUCAUAAUUGCCAAGAAGUGAGAGCCCAAGGGUUAUAAGAACAAGCAACUAACGCGUCCCUUGUUUUCUCAUAUUUUUCUCAACCAACCUUAAAACUACAAAACUUUUUCUCUCUAUUCAUUGCCACUUUUUUUCUUCUUAGUUACAUUUUGCAGCUACUAACAAAUGAUUCAAACACUUUAUCAGUUUUCUUCUUUGUUCUUCAGAUCUUUGCUCUGCACCAUAUAAGGUAAUUUUAAGUAUUUUGCUUUCUUUUAUUCAUUUUUAUGAAGCACAGACACACAGACAUCGAUGAUAAUAUUUUUAAGUAUGUUUGAAUUGACGGUGAAUUUGACAUAAUGAUAGCAUGUGACUUGGUGACAAAAACAUGCAUUUUUUAGCUUGAACAAAAUCAUAUUGUUAUUCAGAACGUGCACAAUUGUGGUCUUGCAUACAAAUUUGUUGAUAGUCAUGUCAAUCAUAAAGUUUUUUUGUUUUUAACAUUAACCUUAAUUAACACAUGUUUUGGUAAAGAUUAGGGGCAUGUGGAAUUAAUAUGAAAAUGAAAGUAGGUAGCUAGAAUGGAAGAUUAUGAUAGUUAGGUUAUGAAUAUGUUUUGGUAAAGACUUAUUCAUCAUUAACCUUUGUACGUAUAAGCUUGUUGUGUCUAUCUUCAAUCCUGUUAGGUAAUUAGGUUUUCCUUUCUUUCUCAAACUGAUUCAUGUCCCCAAUUUUAAGAAAAUCUGCACAUCAAUGAAGUAUUGGUGUAUGUAUAAUUUUUUUAUGAACAUGAUUGCGUAGUAAAUUUGCAUACAUAUAGACACUGCUUGAAUUGUAUACGCAUCGAUCUAGAUCUGCAGAACAAUAAUCAGAAAAUAUUGUUAUUUUGCAAAAGGUUUCGUGUUCUUUCUGCUGUUUAUGUUGAUAUUUGUACAGAUAGUCUAAUCAAUGGAGAAAUUCUGUACAGCUCUAGUCUCAUUUUCAGUUAAUUUAUUCCAAUAAGAUUAUAGUUUCUCAUACACAUUUUCUAAAUUUAUAGUAACGUAUUAGAUUUUUUAAAAUUCUUGUAUCCUUAUCCAUUCAACUUUUUGUUUUAGGCAGGGUGUUUAUCUAAUCGGCUGAUUUUCUGAUUGAUUUAAUCUGAUUGCUUCGCCUAAGCGUUGGAACACCCUACUCUUAAAUUUUGACAGAUUAUACUCUGUAGUUGUUCAAAGUUGUUUUCUUAUAGCCUCUUUUCAAUCUUUUUUUUUUCUUUUUCAGGUGUGCCUUUCAUUACAUGUUUUGCUUUUGAGCAAUUGAAAAUUAACCAGGUUCUGCAUUAUUGCUUUCUAGUGUCAUUGCCAAAACCAGGGGAUGCAGAAAGAUGUGGUUCAAAGUGAAGAGUUCCUUCUCUGAGGUUAAUGAGGUUGUAGCUCCAUCUGAACUAACCUUUUUAAUACUUGAUGAGAUUGGAUAUCUAGUUUACCACCAAUAUCUAUUUUGUACUCAUGUGCCUGAGGUAGCUAGAAGUCUCGGUAAUUGCAUAACGUCAAAACCCGAUGUUUGUGAAGAUGGUUGAGCUUUGAGCACUAUAUAAUCUAUAGUAGUAGUGUAGGUUGUAAGGAAAAAGUGUUGCCGAAAUGGAACCGAAGGGAAGUGUGCUUAUGCAAAGAUAUGAGAUGGGAAGAUUAUUAGGCCAAGGAACGUUUGCGAAGGUCUACCAUGCUAGGAACCUUAUAACUGGCGUGAGUGUGGCCAUUAAGGUAAUUGAUAAAGAAAAGGUUUAUAAAGUUGGUAUGGUUGAUCAAAUUAAGCGUGAAAUUUCGGUUAUGAGAUUAGUCAGACACCCGAAUGUGGUCGAGCUUUACGAGGUAAUGGCUAGUAAAACCAAAAUUUUCAUUGUGAUGGAGUAUGCAAGAGGCGGUGAGCUUUUCCACAAAAUAGCAAAAGGGAAGCUCAAGACAGAUGUUGCUAGGAGAUAUUUCCAGCAGCUGGUUAGCGCAGUUGACUACUGCCACAGCAGGGGUGUGUAUCAUCGAGAUUUGAAACCCGAAAAUCUACUAUUGGAUGAAAAUGAAAAUUUGAAGGUUUCAGAUUUUGGUUUGAGUACACUUUCUGAAUCUAAGAGCCAAGAUGGAUUACUCCACACUACAUGUGGUACGCCUGCGUAUGUUGCUCCGGAAGUGAUAAACCGAAAGGGUUACGAAGGGUGCAAAGCUGAUAUAUGGUCGUGCGGAGUAAUCUUGUAUGUUCUAUUGGCCGGUUAUCUUCCAUUCCAUGAUCAAAAUCUGAUGGAGAUGUACAGGAAAAUCGGUAAAGGGGAAUUCAAAUUUCCUAAAUGGUUUGCACCCGAGGUUCGCCGGUUGUUGUCCAAAAUAUUGGAUCCAAGUUUAAAGACUCGGAUAUCAAUGGCCAAGAUCAUGGAAAAUUCUUGGUUUAAAAAAGGAUUAGAGAAACCUGUUGUCAUCGAGACUGAAAACAACGAACUUACUUCUCUCCACGCUGAAGGAGUGUUUGAAGUAUCCGAGAACGGUGGUGAUUCUAAUACGGAGACAAAACAACUACAGGCGAAGCCUUGCAACAACUUAAACGCCUUUGAUAUCAUCUCCUUCUCAUCUGGUUUUGAUCUAUCCGGUUUGUUCGAAGACACAAUUCAAAAGAAAGAGAUGCGGUUUACGUCUAACAAGCCUGCAUCAACUAUAAUCUCUAAGUUGGAAGAGAUUUGCAAGUGUCUUCAAUUGAAAGUAAAGAAAAAAGAUGGAGGUUUGUUAAAGUUGGAAGGAUCAAAGGAAGGUAGGAAAGGGAUUCUGAACAUUGAUGCAGAGAUUUUCGAGAUUACUCCUCACUUCCAUCUUGUGGAACUUAAAAAGUCUGAUGGUGAUACAGUGGAGUAUGAGAAGCUUUUGCAACAGGAGAUUAGACCAGCACUUAAGGACAUUGUGUGGAACUGGCAAGGAGAACAACCUCAGCAACUCCAACAGGAAGUAGUGCAAGAGGAGCAACAAUCAUCUCUUACUGAUCAAAUUUGAGGCUAAUUUCAGAAUCAUUGUUGCAUCACUAGGUUGUUGUAUGUUCUGUAUUUCCUUUGUGUGAACUUGAUCAAGAGUUUAAUUUAACAAUACUCAUAGAAUAAGGUUCAUAGUUUAAUCUUUUUUAUGUUUGUAUGAUACUUCAAAAAUACUUGUAUGGCUAAAGUGAAAAUUGGACCAUUUGGGCUUUUUGUUCAUUUCCCUCACGAUUAUUCUUUACAAAGGUCAAAGUGUAUCAAUCUAGUUAAAACCCUGCUUAUAGGAUUAACUGAAAAAUGCAAGUCAUUUUUUUCAACUAGCCUUAUUUGAUUUGGUUGGCUCACGUGUCACACUUCUUUGCAGCAACGUAUUAUGUGGUAGCAUAGCUAAUUUAAUCAUUCAUCACAAUUCACAGAAGGCAGAAACCAUAACAUAAAUACUUAUAUUUAAUAUUACUUUGCCUAAAGGUUUUUUGAAACUGUUCUGGUUUAUAUUAUGCUUUCCAUUUGGUCUGACAUGUGAUUAGAGAUGAAGUUGGGUCAAUUUUGUUUCUUUAUGUUAACAUGUGAAGUACACAUAAUCACUUAUAUUGAUGUUGCGUUUUCAUUUAAUUAAUUUUACUAAUUCAAAUUAUGUGAUUAACUUAUGAUAAAAGUUAAUUUCAGUUUACUUAACUAAGAAUCAAAUUGGUUGAUUCAAUUUUAGGCGGGUAAUACCAGCAGUGAUGUGAUCCGAAGCCGUGGUUUGAUGAUUAAAUAAUGAAACUUUGGCACUCAUGUUAUAGUGGAAUUUCCACCUUUAUUUUCUUUUGAGAAAUGAAAUGAAUGUUUUGCAAGUUGUACUGUAUUUUUAAGAGAACAAGUUAUGGUGUGAUUUUAAAAUGUAAUUCCUUACUGGUAAAACAAUGUAGAAUUCUUGGAUUGUUUGGGCUUUAUACCAUGUCAUGACUCAUGUCAAUAUCACUUAUAACUAACUUUAAAAAACUUCAGUGAUAACUUCUAGUGAAACAUACCCCGCACAACAAAACUGUGAGAUAAGCAGUUGAUAUAUUUGCAAUUGCAAUUUCAUAUAUAUGGAGAAGUGCUAACUACACUCUUUUAAACAUUCACUCAAACACACAUUCUUUAAUUGGAUGAAACAAAUGUGUGUUCCAUUAUUUUAUGUCGAUUUCAGUUUUAAAGUGUGAGAUCCACACUGAUUUCACUCAUUAAAAGAGAGAGCGUUUGAGUGACAAUUGAAAAGAGGAUGUUGAUAGCAUUCUUCAAUGGACAAAUAUUUGUGAUUUAGCUCACCUUUUACCUUUUUUUUUUCUCUCUACGAAAUCAAACAAAUAUAUCGAUGAAAACUACUCAAGGUUGAAGAUGUGUCGAUGAUAAUAAAAAACAAAUGCUAAAGGAAUGAAGCCUAUCAAAACAAACAAACUAUCAAAAGGAAUAAAGCACUCAAACACAUAAUAGGAUGUGACUAACCCAUUUGGGGUUGGCCUAGUGGUUGGCUUCGGAUCUUGGAGUUUGCUCAUCCAGAGGUCUCAGGUUCGAUCCCCUCUGGUGCCAAUUUCGGUGGGCUAAGUCCAUACAGAGCUUGCUCUGACUUUAAACGGGGCCCCUGCAAAGUGGACGGUGGGAUUGGUCCCCUCAAAUUAGUCGAUUCUUGGAUUGGAUACCGAGUUUUAAAAAAAAAAUUAAAAAACCAAUAGGAUGUGACUACUAUUGAUGAAGCUCGACUUUAUAUCUUUUAAGAUUUAUUUUGAACCAUAGACAUGACAACAAUUUAAUAGGUUUUAAAUUAAUCAAACCAAAUAAUUGAGUUUAAGUGAUUAAUGAUCUUUACUAAGGAUAGAUUGUUCAAGAGAACCUAAAUUCGAUUCAUGGUGGAACGAUUCCUCACAAACUCCAGAUUACUAGGGUCUUUUUUCCCUGAGAACCGAAAGGUUAACACAAAAAUAAACCCAAUACAAGCUCUUUUUAUAAAAAGAUAUUGACAUUUCGAGCUUUUCAAAUAACUUACACUCAAGUCAUUCAAAUAUAAAGGAGGAAAACUCACUACCAAAUAAUAUUGACAUCUAAUUGAAUAGUAAAAUAUAUUGAGAAUAACGGUAGUGCAUGUAAGGUGAAUAACUCAGACACAAUUCAUCCAAAUAACAUUGGCAUUUCAAGAUGCACUUUACUAUUCAAACAUAGGAUUGUACAUACUCUGCAUUUCAUGAUGCACUCUACUAUUCAAAUAUAAGCCAAUCAAAUUAAGCGUGAUCCAAUACAAUAUUUGGUAUGAUACUACUAAUGCACAACCAAUACAAAACUAAAAUCUAAAUAUUACCAAAAGAGGGCACAUCCAUUAGCACAAUGCAAGUCCAUAGAAGCUUUUUCUCAACUGACAAUAUUAUUCUUUGUAGAAAGUCUAUUUUGUAAUAACAUCCACAUCAAGAGGGAUCUUCACUGGAGUAACUUUAUUCCACAUAAGAUCGCAAAUAGGAGACUUUUAAAUGCUUGUGUUCGUCAUCAACAUCUAGUAAGCUCCUUUGACUAAAAAGUUACCACCAAGUAUAUUUCUGCAAGUGCAUUUAAUUUUGUUUUCUUGAAAAAUAAGAUUAUCGACAUACAAAAAACACUCUGUAACUGACUCUUCUUCGCAUUGAAACAACAUACGCAUGCAACUCCACAUAAACCCGCCCCCCUCUUCACCAUUCAACACCAAAUUAGCAACAAUGACCCUUUUUUAUGAAUAGUCAAACCGUAUAAUCUACUAAAUUAAUCCCUUAAUCCAAGGAUCAUGCGAGACAAUGAGUUCCUCUCAUAACCAAUCAUUUUUUCUAUUUUGUUAAAACCAAUUAACUUGGUCAUUGUGGUACUCAUGCCCUACUAUUUAAAAUAUCUCUCCACCACAUAGAAUCUCUACUUGAACUCGUAAUCACACCGCCAUUUAACAAUCCAUAUCUUUAUUUUGUUAAAACUUUAAACCAUGAAUCAUUCUCGUCUCUCUACAUAUCACAACGAUCACAUGAACUGUGAAUCCUAUAAGGGUCAGGAUUUCUCUACUCUGAAGAAACCCCACAAUUUCACACAGUUUUCAAUUGCAACCCUUGGAUCAUUAUUUGAUGAUAUAUAUUAAAACUUUGUAAAUCAUCCAAUGGUUGUAAAUCAUCUUGUUCUUUUUUACACAGCACCAAAACCUUGAAUUUAUUUAACAAGAUCAUUGUUUUUAUUUUUGGAUGGACAAGAUCACUCGAUUGAAAACAUAACAUCCCCCAAAUAAAUCGCAUUUUGACCAAACGACACAGAUCAUUGCCGUUUAACCUUCACACAUAUAUCCUCCCCAUUAUACCCUUUUAAAACAGUCCCCUUUUCUUAUAACAACAAAUGGCAAAACAGUCAGAUAGAAAAAAGUAGGUGGCAAAUCAACCCCAACCUCUUUUUACCUUCAUUCUCUCUCCUCUAUCUUCAUAAUCCAACAGAUCCAUCAUUUCUUCUCUUCCAAUCGCAUUCACAAUCUCUCUUACAUAUAUAAACUCUCUCCCUUUUUAUACCCCAACUUACAAAUUCUCACUUCAAUCUCUUCCCGCUCUCUCCAAACACACACUUCUUCAUUCAAAUCCCUUCAAUUCAACUCCAAUUUCUCUCAGAUCCAUCAAAAAAAUCAUACAAAAAACAUCCAAAACAAAAAAAAAUUCUUAAUUUUCACUUUUAAGGUCUGAUUUCCGUAAUACUUCUUUAAAAUUACUAGAUCUAAAUACCCUUUUGAAAUUUACAUCUAAUUGUCAGAAAAAAAUUGUUUUUUUAAGAUUUUUUUUCUUAAAGAUGAUGUUUUUAUAACCUAAUUGGUUUCUUUCUUUGUUCUUUUUAAUGAUUAUUGGAUAAUUAGAGAUCUGGGUUAUUUUGAUUUUUUAAUUAAGUUAAGGUUUUGGUACUGAUUAAUGUGGAAUAUGGUUGUUUUUGUUGAUUUUGAAGAAUAGCUUAUACAAAUUAAGAGUGAAUAGGAGCUUAUGGCUGACCAAGGAUUGGAAGGGAGCCAACCUGUGGAUUUAUCAAAGCACCCUUCUGGAAUUGUGCCUACUCUUCAGUGAGUUUCUUUCAUUUAAGUGUUUCAUUGUGAUUGCAAGCAUGAGAAGAUGAAUGAUUGUUUGUCUGCUGUGUGUUUUGGAAGUGAGAGUUUGUGUUAUGGUUUGUGGAUAUGUUAAUUUGUAAUAAAGAAUUAGCUAUGAAACACUGACACGGACAAUGACACCGACGAGUUGUCAACACUGGUCAUAAUUUGAGAAAAUGAAUUAAUUAAAUGUAUUCACAUGUGUCUAUGUCGGACACCAGAUAUGCCUUCGAUCAGAGGUGUCUAUGCUACAUAGUAAACAAGUGGCCUUAUUUAGCUAUCCAAACCAACACCAUUUAUGACAUUGAGAGCAUUGCAUGCAAAUAAUAAUGAUAAAAUUAACUCUCUUCUGAUGGGUUUACUGCUACCAAAAUUUAGCUUGUGUCUUUAGCUUUGUUCAUAUGAGUUUAUUGAUGAUUGGGCUGAACAAACUAUCUUGCAUGUGAUUUUCCUAUACAUGGUCAGUCCUGUUUUCCGUAUUUGUCAAUUGUUGGAGUAUACAGUUUGAUUGGUUUUACUGAUAACUGCUCUUUUUAAGGGGCUUAGCCCAAUAAAGUUUUAUGCCAACGAAGCUUUGUGAAUGAGAUUUGGUAAAAUUAAAAUGUUCAUAAUGGAGAGUAUUUAUAUUCCAGUUGGAAUUACUUGUGGUAUAUUCUUUUCCAG
rnacentral:lncRNA from 1 species